rnacentral:lncRNA from 1 species
AAUGUUGGAAAAAAUAUAUAUUAUGUGUUAAGCAUAAUAUAAAAAUUAAAAAAAUAUAUAUAAUUUGAUUACUGUCAUUCUUCAUAAAUAAAGAUACCAAAUAUAUAACUCAUCACUUGACACUAAGCCAAUCAUGGACCCAAAAGAUCUCUAUAUUUACGACAGUUGAGACAUCUAAAUCUCUCUUCAAUACAUCAUCUGGCCUGCAACUUCCCUCUUCUCAGUUACUUUUCUUUUCUUCCGCCGCAAAAGUAACUGACUGAGAAAAAAAAAUGGAAAACAGAGUCAUCAGCAGCUGCAGCAGCAACCCAGUGAUGAGGAAAGGAAAGGGAAGAGACUUGACCAAUUGCCCACCAAAAAGAGGUCUUAUCAAAGCCAAAAUCUUUGGAUUUGGUGGCAGAUCAAAUCAAGAAUAUUCAUCAACGGAAGGAGGAGCAGCAGCAAACUGUGACACCAAUUCUGGAGCAAGGCCUGGUUCUGCAAAUGGCCACUCUUCCAAUGAGUAAGAGUAAACAUAGCAGCUGCUGGGAAAGGGGAAGACAAGAGAGGCUAUAAUAUAUAUAUAUAUAUAUAUAUAUAUAUAGAUAUAUGUGUGUGUGUGUGUGUGUGUGUGUAUGCAGAAGGAGACUAUAUGAUUAUAGAAAUUAAGGGUAGUUUUUCAUUUAUCCAAGUUGUUUCGCAAGAAGUAUGUAACCCUUCCUCUUUCUUGGCAGUAAUAAGAAAUAAAUCAGUUAUCAAGUUCCAUUUUCCCUGCUUCCCUAGUUUUCUCUGGAUCUUCCUUUCUGCAAUGUAAUUACAAUCUUGAAUUUUACUGCACAUUUAGUAUCGGUGAACAUCUGUUUUGAAAGAGCUCCAAGAUUACGAAAAUCCCAAUUCAUUGUUAUUACUAAUUAAGAAAUUUAAGAAACAAUUUGUUCUUUGAUCAAAACUAAUUAACUUCUUUGCUUGGACUGGGAAGUGAGAUUUUGUUCUCACUAAUUAAGAAACAAGUUAUAUGCAUUAUGCACACAUUGAGUAGUACCAAAAAACUGAGUUUAACCAAACUAGCUCGGUUUUUCGCGGCAGAUCUGUGUUGGCCCUUCGCGGUUGAUAACGAGCGAAUGAAGACCUUCCGUUCUAUUAUACUAGCAAUUGUAUACAUGUUAUGCAUGUGCUUAUUAAAAUUUUGAAAAUUUUACAUGGAGAGAAAAUAUAAAUGUUCGCUUGAACUUUUUGGCGACGACCUUCAAACUAUUUUUCGUCGCUGAAGAGGUUGUUUAUAUCUUUAGCGACUGUUUCCGGAUAACUAUUUGUCAAUAAAAAUUUAUUUUAUUUGGGAAAAAAUGUGAAAGAGAAAAUGAGACAACUAAUACAUUUACUUGGUUGUUAGCGUUUUAAAGAACGAGCCUCGAGGCGGGCCUAGGUGGCCUUUGAGGUGCAACGUGAGGAAAAUGCCUAUACCAAGCAGGAGGAGGCUUAAACUCGCCUGGACGUGAUCGAGGCGCGCUUGAGACGUUAACUGGGGCUUUUUUUAAGUUAGAAUUUCUCACCUACAGUGGAAUUUUUUUAAUUUGAUUUUUUAUUAUUCUCGCUUAAUAGUUGAUCUCGACUCUAUUAUUGAUUAUCUUAAAUAUAUAUAACUAUAUAUGUUAAUAAUUUUAAGAGGUCGCACUUGGUGCGAUGGCAAGUGCCUUCGCCCAUGAGCGGUAGGUCUCGGGUUCGAGACUUGGGAGCAGCCUCUCCAUAAAUGGGGGUAAGGCUAGCCGACAUUCACCUCUCCCAGAUCCUGCGUAAAGCGGGAGCCUUGUGCACUGGGUACGACGAUAUAUGUUAAUAAUUUUAGAUCUGGUGAGGCUCUGCCUUACGCCUCAAGGCUUUUGCCUAAGCAUGGCUAUUGCCUAAGCAGGGCUAUUCAUAAAACGCCUUGGUUUUGCUUUUGCUUUUUAAAACAUGCUGGUUGUGAGGCUUUAAAAAAAAUUAAAACCUGUUUUGUGUCAAUUUACCAUAUUACCAUAACUUUUAUUUUGGUUGUUUUUCUUUAAUUUUGUUUGACACAGUUAAUUUUUUUUUCUCCCUUUUAAUUGACAAAGAAGAUUUUGCUAAUGCGUAGUUUACAUUGUUUAUGUAUCUCUACGAAUUAUGAAUGUAAUUUCAAUAAAAAAAAAAUCAGAAAAAUUUCAUAAGAAUUAAAGAAGUUGCAAAAAUGUAUAUUCAAGUGUGACAAUUUUUAAAGCAGUUCAUCAAUCAAAUCAUAUCCCUCCAAUAUUCUUAUUAAUUAAAUUAGUUUUUUUAAUGGAUGUUUUUUUGGAUAUCUUGCUUAUCCAACCAUUGGCAGUGACAACAGAAUACUCAUUGUUUACUUCAGCAAAUUGCAUUCCUUCUUUGACUUCAAUUAUCAUGUUACAUCACAAAAGCUAGUGUCAUCAACACGUCACUCAAUAUCAUCACAACUUUAUAAAUUAAUUUAAUUGUUGGGGGUUUGUUUAAGUGUUUAAUUAAUUAGAAUAUCAAUACGGAAAAUAAUAUUAAAUGAGAAUGCUUUCUGCACGAGUUGUCCAAACACCAAUUGAAUAUUUGGCUGAGAAAAAAAAAUAUAUUUUUCAAGUGAUGUAGUCUACCUAUUUUGUCCGAGAGUGAAAGGAUUAUAUGCUUAACUUAGGUUAGCUGGUACCAGCUCACCUAUAUUCUCCUUCACCUUUUUGUAAAAGUUGCAGUCAUUAACCCUAACCCUAGAGGAUGGCCACCACAGCUGCUGAGAGAGAGAGAGAGAGAGAGAGAGAGAGAGAGAGAGAUGUUCAAGCGUGUUCAAACUUUGAAAGACUAUUUCUUUAGGAUGAUGAUGAGGAAUUAAAAUCAAGAAAUCAAUCUUUCCAAAAUAUUAGAUUUCACAUUUCACAUCAAAUGCAUGCAUAAUAAUACUAACAUGUGGUUCUAAUUUGGAAAGAAAGGUACCUAAAAGAUGGUUUGGUCUUAUGUUUUACUAAGACUAGUUUAAAGCAUGCAUCUUGUAAACUAGUCUUUAAUCUUAUCCUAUUUGGACUGCAAUAUUAUUGAUAGUCAAUUGAUCAAAGAAAUUGAAUGAGAAUUACGGAACAGAAACAAAGGAAAAAAAUGCAAAAAGAGAAAACAAAAGUGAGACCAUAUCCCCAAUAAACCAUGCAUUCACAAUGAUGAUGGUGACUUCUUACAAAUAUCUGUUGCUGUUUGCAUUUUUUACAUUUUUUUUCCUAUGUUUCUGUUCCCAUGAUCAAUUUCUUUGAUCAAUUGACUAGCUAAAAACAUCAAGAGGACUGCAGGGAGAAAAAUAGAACUCUCCCAUUUGGAUUAGCCUCCUAACCCAAUUUUAUUCCUUUCCUAGAGAUCAAAGUAAAAGUGGAUGACAGCUUCGCUUGGAGCCCAAGUCACAGAUGUCAGUAAGAAGUCACCAUCACCAUUGUGAAUGCAUAUGGUGUAUUGGGGACAUGCUCUUUCAUUAUUAUAAAACUCAUAGUGAACCAAAUGGCCGGCAGCCCAAAAUUAAUUACCCCCAAGAUUAUCAACGGCUUAAAUAUAAAAGGCUAAUUAACUCAUCAAAUCGUGCCUAAACACAUCAUUCAUUUUCCCAUCCAAAAGAUUUGUCAAAGGGGCAACAUAUCUAUCAUGUUCUUUAUUUGACAGAAACAUAUAUAGAGGUUCCCACAUGGAAAUUCAGGAAGAUUAUGUUUGAAAUAUAAGGUAAUCUUAAACAAGGACACAGUGAACUUUUGACUCUCCUUUUGCAUUUAUCUCUACAAAUAGAAAGGAGUCUCCACCAUUCAAUUCAACGUUUCUUUGUAAUUAUGAAUGUUGCCCGUCUUACUGGUGACUGAGACCGAACAAUAUUAAAACUGGAUCCAAAUUAGUUCUAUAGAGUCUUGAUAUUUAUGAGAGGAGUUAUAAGACACAAUAUGUUGUAUUGUUUUUCAUUUUAAAUGUCUGAGUAUAAUAUUUGCAAGUUUACCAAACAAAAGACAAGAUAUUCUUCUAAUUUAAUUGAAAUAGGUCUUUGGACUGAGCCAGCAGAGCAAGUGAAUACGUUGAUGCUUUUUGACUGGAAGUUUGGAUCCCAGUUGUUUGUUGCCUCUAGUGAAGUUACUUUAAAGGUUGAUCAAGCAAGUCAAAAAAGCCAUCUACUUUUGGGGUUGCCAAAUUGCAACUGGUUACUAGAUACAGCUGUGUCAAUAUAUAACUCUAAUUUGAGUUAAAUUUAGAAUUAAUCUGUGAACUAUAACUCUAAUAUAGAUUUCAUCUGUUAAUUUUGAUCUUUAAAUUUAACAGAACAUGGAGCAAUGAUCCAUCCGUUAACUUCUGUAAAAAAAUUGUACUUCAUAUACUUAGAUUUAAAGUAAGUUUAAUUAUCGAAGAUGUCAGCGAUGCGACUAGUGCCAUCAUCACUGGUAAACUGGCUGAACGUUUAUUUGGAAUUUCAUGUUAUGAUUUAGUUGUCGAAAAAAGGUUUACUGAUCAACAAGAGUUACCAUAUGCAAUUCUCCAAUGUCAAGGGCAGAUAAAAAAAUUUCAACUUCGAUUUGGAAAUUUGAAAAAUGAUUUCAACAGAAAUGAUCUUUUGAUCCAAGCGAUUUUCAACAACAAAAUACAAGAUGUUCAAUCAAGCUCCAAAGCUUCUUAUGUAUCUGUUUGGGCCCAAAAUGACAGUUUGGGCCGAGGGAGGAAUCACUUUUGGCCCGGGAAGACGUACGGCGAGAGGGUCAUGGGAUGUUCAGCCCAUGGGCUUCCAGGCCUAGGUCGGUUAAAACAGAGUGCAAGUCGAGUCCUAAUACAAUAGGGACCCUUGACGAGAUCAGUAAAACUAGAAGGCGAAUCCGGCUCAGUUAAGGACUAGAUUCGAGUCCUAGCAGAGAUAGGACUGGUCGAAGUAAUCUGGAGAGGGAAACCUAGUUCAAAUAGGAUUGGAACUCGGGCUCGGUGUUCUGCUACUAUAAAUACAAGACGUUCAGCAAUGGAAAAAGCCCCUACAAAAUCCAUACAAAAUUGCCCUGCGCAAACUCUCACAACUUGUGAUUUUUCUUUUUCCUUUUUCGCUGACACAUCUUCCGUUGGCAUCAACAGCACUGUGGAAGCAACCGGUGAUAUCUUAAGUCGGCAUAGAUAGCUCUGUCACCGUAGAGUCAGUCAGUCUCGCAGUACCUUCCGUUGGCAUCAACAGCACUGCGGCGAGAACGAUUGAUUACCUAUCCAAGUCUCGGUCGAGAAGGGUUUCUAAAUCCUUAUUGGUCGAGGUCAUCUCAUCAGCCUUCUCGGCGAAGUGAGGUGUUACAGUUAUUACAUUCGGCACAUUGAAAGCCGAAUUUGAUAUUGAACUUCGUAAGAAUAGUAACCUUGUCUUCAGGUUCGAGAGCCCAAGAGGCCGAGACGUGUUCCUUUCUCGGCCGCAAUCGCAAGACGCAGAAGUCAGUAGCGCGACCCAACGCAACAUCAACAAAUUUACUCCUCGGCCGAGCUCGGCCGACGAGUUGGCACGCCCCGCAUUCACCGAAUGACGUAGUUAGCUUAGAACAUACUCGGCCUGCGCGCCACGUAGGCUUUGUAGUUUCUAGGGUCAACAUUUUGGCACGCCCAGUGGGACCCAGUGCUAAACUACGAAGUUCAUGCCAAUUGAAACACGAUCGGUAAAAAAGAAAACAGCUAUGGGAAAGUCGACAGCCGAUUUGCCGAGUCAGAGCAUAGGACAGAGUGUGCCACAGGCGCAGAACCUCCUUAGCGCUGCGACACCUGAGUCCACGAGCGCGACUCGCCGAAAGAGAGAAGUUAAUCUCGGCGGUCAGCCCCGUGGUUUAGAGAUCCCUAACAGAAACACGUGCGUUCUCAAUGAGGGGAUAAUAGAGGAUUGCGACGAGGAUGGUGGUGAAGGAUCUGACCCACCAACGAGGUCGUUUCUCCGAAAGCGACUAGACGAGCAGUCUCGGUCAGUUGAGCAGACAUUUAGUCGAGGCAUCGACAAACUGCAUGAUGCGAUAAUCAGUUCUGCUAAGCGACAUAACAGGUUGCUCGAAAUGUUGUUUAGUAAAGUCGGUGGCAGCAGGCCUUCCGAUCUUCUCCAGCAUUGCCCUCCAGGAAACAAUCCGUUACCAAUUGUACCGGCCGAACCUAUUCCUGUUCGCCCCAAACCAAUUGAAUUGGAAAAAGGUGGAGGGUCGAACAGCGGGUCAGACGGAACCAACCAGAGGAGUGAAGCAGCACCUGUUGAUAUGACCGAAGUCCAGCGGAUGAUUGACUCGGCCAUGAAAAAGGGGCCGAAGUUUCCUAAGUUUAUUCAUCCAUACCCAGCUUACGUGGAAACGUUUGGAUACCCUAAAGGCUUCAAGAUUCCAGAUUUUAGCCUCUUUGCCGGUGAAUCGUCCUUAUCUUCGUUAGAACACGUGGCUCGUUUUACCGCGCAAUGCGGAGAUGUUAAUAGUGACUUUCAUAAGUUACGGCUGUUCAACUUCUCAUUGACCGGCUCGGCAUUCGCUUGGUACAUUAAUUUACCCCCCAAUUCCGUCUAGAACUGGGAAGAGUUGGUCGAGAAAUUCCAUGAGCAGUUUUAUCGGCCAGGAAUGGAGAUGUCAGUUUCUUCGUUAGCAAGGAUGGCUCAGGCAUCUGAUGAAUCACCAAUGGAUUAUCUUACUAGGUUCAAGUCAGCCAGGAAUUGGUGCCGAGUACCUUUACCCGAAGUAGAAUUCGUCAGGCUUGCUUUGAACGGAUUAGACGUCGAAUAUAAAAAGAAAUUCUUGGGGGCAAAUUUUCGGGACAUGUACGAAUUAGCCCAACAUGUCGAACAGUAUGACUAUUUGCUCCGCGAGGAGAAGGUUUCGAAAACGCCAUCUCGGGGGACGCUUUACAAGAAUCCUACUGUCAACUAUGCGUCCACCGAGGAUGAGUGUGUUAGUGUGGAUGCGGCCGAGAUAGUAAUAGAUAAGCCAUACGUUUGCAAGGCGUUGACUCAGGUUGAUUUUAGAGAAGUCAAAAGUCGCUCGUCUACCGAAGGAGCAUUGAAACCGUCGAAGGUUUACACUUUUGAUAUUACCAAGGCUGACGCAAUUUUUGACCAACUAUUGUCCGCAAGAAUUAUCAAGCUUCGGCCUGGUCACAACAUUCCUAAGGCCGAAGAGCUUAAGGGAAAGGUGUAUUGCAAAUAUCACAAUUCGAGUAAACAUACGACAAACAAUUGUGUCGUAUUUCGUGAUAAUGUCCAAAGCUGGAUUGAUAAUGGUAAACUGAAAUUUCCCGAGAAGAAGAUGGGUAUUGACGCUGAUCCGUUCCCCACGGCAACCGUGAAUAUGGUCGAUGCAUGCCUCCCUAAAGACAAAGGGAAAGGGAAGGCCGAAGUCGUUACGAGGCAACGUUUUCGGACUCAGAAUUCUCGGCCACGUUUCAUGGCCGAUUUCUAUUCAAACGCACCACCUACGGCUUUAACAGGACCCGCUGUUGUCAAACCUAUGAUGGAUUAUACUACCGAUGAAGACAGCGGGACGGCGGUUUUGUGCAGGAAAUGUAGAACAAAGGUCGAGAGUGAGCCAGAGGAGAAACUCCCUUUACUUGGGACGGAACGGCCCGUGGCCGCAACUCGGUAGAAUGUUGCCAAGAUAGGCCAACAUCAAGGGGUUUUUGACAGGCUUGGUCCUAAAGUACUGAUGGAAGAGAUACCCCCGGUCCGGAGACGCCUCGAUUUUGAUGAUUCGUUCUAUGACGAUGAUUACUACAAACGUAAUUCUAGCAACUCAGAAUCAUCGCGGAGUCAGAAAACCUUCAAACCUCCUGAACCUAAAGAUCAACGGUGGUAUACAUAUCAUUCUUCGAGGGGAGUUUACACGGCACUGUCCAAAUCCCAGAAACGUAGGCACCAAAGGAUAGAUUGCAUGGCUCGCCGACGGGCAACCCAUGAAACUUCGGCCCCUAAAUGGCGGCCGAAGGACACAGUUGCUCCCAAUGAUGAGCGACCAAGUCCCUCUAUCAUGACAUAGUUGGUUCAAGGGAAACGGUUGGUCGACCGACAUGUUGAAACUACGUUCGAGGAGGCUGAUAAACGGAUCAAACUUCUUCUUCGGCCAGGGGAGAUGAAGGCACGACUCGAGUUUUUCAGACAAGAGGCCGAAAGCAAAUUCGCACCACCAGCUAUACAAGAACCUUUGAUCAAAAUUCGACGGAAUUUGCAUCCACCAUUUCUUGGGGAGGCCUUGGAAUAUAUGCGAGAAUUUCAUAAGAAGCAUUCGGCCAACGAUCUGUAUGGUUUGCCGAAGGCAUGCCAGGACACUAUUGACCUGAUCCUGACUUGUCCGGAUGCCGAGCGAGUCAUCCAAAAGACCUCAGAUCCAGGAUUGAAAGCAAGGUUCCAGCAUAUCCGAGAAGCUCGUGUCUUUGGAUUUGAAGUUGACCCGUACACCGAUAUCGUUGCAGCUGACCUCCCUUUCUCGAUGGAGGACCUUCAGUAUUUACGAUAUCACUUCGAGGUAUUUUCGGCUGUUUCUCUCUUCGGCCUUACGGCCGAUGAAGUUGCGCGUGUCGCACGUCUAGAUGCUUAUCUCGACGUCAGGGAUGCCCGGCUCCACUAUCAAGAGCAGGUUCAGGCUUUGGCCCCAAGAGCACUGUCAAUUGUGACCCUGCCUGAAGCGGUCGCACAGGACCAACGACUCGCUGAUGCAGCACCGCCGAAUGGAGCCAUCACAGAGGAAAUAGAGGAAUCUUGUGGUCCAACUUUGACUGCAACGGAAUCGUUCGUUGCCGACCAACCGAGCAAGGAGGGUAUCGACCCAAUGGGCCCAUCAGUCCUGGAGAAUAUGGAAAUCAGUAUGGUCCAUGUGUUACCUGCCGAUUUUCAAUCACGCACGGCUCAACCAAAUUUCCUCGAUGGAGAUGUGCUUGCCGAAGAACCCGGCCAUAUUGAUUUUGUGUCGGUUGCUGAAGGAGAGCCAGCAACAAAAGAUGAUGGUUUAAAAGCUGCCUUGGCCGAGUUGUUCCCUCGUCCAUCGUCGGCCAAGCUUCACCAUUUAAAGCCAUUGUAUGUGACGGCCCACAUUGAGGGGUAUCCAGUUUCUAAAGUUUUUGUCGACUGUGGGGCUACUGUCAAUAUCAUGCCCCUGAACAUCAUGAAGGCCUUACGCCGUUCGAAUGACGAGCUUAUUCCGUCAGGAAUCACAAUGAGUAGUUUCGUCGGCGACAAAUCCCAAACCAAAGGGGUACUUCCGUUAACCGUCAAUAUUGCUGGUCGCACCCACAUGACCGCCUUUUUCGUGGUUGAUUCUAAAACCGAGUAUAAUGCAUUGCUCGGCCGAGAUUGGAUCCAUCAAACCAGCUGUAUUCCUUCUUCGUUGUAUCAAGUGCUUGUCUUUUGGGACGGUAAAUCGGUCACUGUCCAUCCGGCCGAUAGCCAACCCUUCGAAACUAACAUGAUCCAAGCCCGGUAUUAUGAUGAUCACGUAGGCUACAUUACAUUGCAAGACUUCAAUGAAGACGGACGGCCGACUCAGAUUUCGGUUCAGAAAGCUAUCGAGGUUGGCGCCGAGACUGUCCACCAGGAUUCGGCGAGACUCGAAUUGGCCAAUUUUCUCCCCGAGUCUGAUGUCUGACACAGACCAGGACAAACGUAGGGCCGCGGUUUCAUCUACGAUGGAACGACUGCUGGCCCAUUGGUAUACUAUAUCUCGGCAACCGAAUUCAGGCGUUAACCUCGUCGAAUUCCUUGCCGAAGAGGAUCCUGGUCCUGCCCUAUCUUUUGAUCAAGUUCGAGCCGCCCCGGCCGAGCUCGAGGAUUAUCGGCCCCAAGUUAAGGACCCCCUAGAAGAAAUUAAUGUUGGGACGGCCGGUGACCCACGACCUGUGUUUGUUAGCGCUCUACUUCCUCAACAAAUGAAGGACGAGUUGCGAGCCUUGCUUACGGAAUUCAAGGAUUGUUUUGCUUGGAGCUAUCAUGAAAUGCCCGGUUUAGAUCGUGCUCUGGUCGAGCAUGAAUUACGUAUUAAGCCCGGAUUCAAGCCUUUCCGUCAACCACCUCGUCGAUUCUCGACCGAAGUACAACUCAGUAUCAAGGACGAAGUAGUUCGGCUUUUGAAAGCUGGAUUCAUUCGGACAGCUCGAUAUGUCGAAUGGUUGGCGAAUAUUGUUCCUGUAUUAAAGAAAAGUGGUGCACUGCGCAUCUGCACCGAUUUUCGAAAUCUGAAUCUGGCAACGCCCAAAGAUGAGUAUACAAUGCCGAUUUCAGAUUUGUUAAUCGAUGCCGCGGCGAAUCAUGUGAUCUUGUCCUUUAUGGAUGGACAUGCCGGGUACAACCAAAUAUUUAUUGCCGAAGCCGAUGUGCACAAAACUGCUUUCCGUUGCCCGAGGGCACUCGGCACUUACGAAUGGGUUGUCAUGCCAUUCGGCCUCAAGAAUGCCGGCGCCACGUACCAACGGGCGAUGAACACCAUCUUCCAUGAUUUAAUUGGCACCAUCGUCAAAGUUUAUAUCGAUGAUGUUGUCGUCAAAUCUAAACGCCGACAGACACAUCUGGACGAUCUCAGACAGGCUUUCCUCCGCAUGCGUCGGCACAACCUCAAGAUGAAUCCUGCUAAGUGUGCCUUCGGUGUAUCGGCCAGGAAUUUUCUUGGUUUUCUCGUACAUCAUCGUGGGAUUGAAGUCGAUGAGAAUAAGGCUCGCGCAAUCAUUAAUGCUCCACCCCCAACAACGAAGAAGCAAUUACAAUCCUUACUCGGCCAGAUCAAUUUUUUACGCCGAUUUAUUGCUAAUUCGGCAGGUAAGAUGAAAGCGUUUUCUACACUUUUGAAGCUCAAGGACUCAGAUAAGUUCGUGUGGAAUGAGGAGCAUCAGGCGGCAUUUACACAGAUCAAGGUUUCUCUCACAAAUCCACCUGUCUUGGUCCCUCCUCGGCGCGGUAAGCCUCUCAAGCUAUACAUUUCGGCGGCCAAGGAGUCCAUUGGUUGCCUUCUCGCGCAAGACAAUGAUGCCGGACGGGAACAGGCUAUCUUCUACCUCAGCCGUAAUCUGAGUCAUCCGGAGAUCAAUUAUUCCGCCGUUGAGAAGCUCUGUCUCGCCGUUUUUUUCGCUGCAUCCAAGCUUCGGCAUUACAUGCUCCCGUCGGUUACCCAAGUCAUUGCCCAGACCGACGUUAUCCGGUACAUGCUUACCCGGCCAAUUAUGAAGGGCCGAAUUGGGAAAUGGACAAUGGCGUUGUCCGAGUUCAGUUUGCAAUACGUGCCGCAAAAGGCUGUGAAGGGACAGGCAUUGGCCGAUUUCCUUGCCCAGCAUCCUUCGCCUUACGGGUUUGGGAGUGCUGACGUCGAAAUCGGCAUGGUAGUGACCCGCGACAACUAUUGGACGAUGUAUUUUGAUGGUUCUAGUACUUCGUCCUCGGCCGGCGCAGGCAUCGUCAUUCAAUCUCCCCACAACGAUCGUUGGUAUUUUUCGCUCAAAUUGGAUUUCGACUGCACCAAUAAUCAGGCCGAAUACGAGGCGUUGGUCAUUGGUCUGGGCCUCCUUCUUGACUUACACGCCACUCGUGUCCUCGUCCUCGGGGAUUCUGAAUUAGUGAUUAACCAAAUUAAUGGGUCUUUUCGCUGCAUGAGUUGUACUCUGGCGCCUUACCACAUGGUCGCCAGCUAUUUGGCCGAGUCUUUUGACGGUGUUACAUUCGAGCAUGUUUCUCGGGCUCAUAAUACCGACGCAGACGAGUUGGCUCAAAUCGCCUCCGGUGCACAACUCCUGGGGGGCAAGCUAGGCUGGGAGAUACCAAUAUUACGACAAUUAUACCCGGCCUUGGUUGAUCAGCAAAUUCUCCGUCGAGACAAUGUGAUACGCACCAGGGUCAUGUCCCUGCCUUCGUUGUUAGAUCGGCAGGACUCUAUAGAAAUUUACGCGGCCGAGGCAGUACCAGAUGAUUGGAGAAAGCCCAUUAUGCAGUACCUUGACAAUCCUACCGGAAAACAUAGUCGCAGGACACGGGUUCACGCCACGAAUUAUGUCACGUACCAGAACGAGUUGUACCGAAAGGGCGAAGAUGGUUUGUUAUUGCUAUGCCUCGGCCCCCAAGAGAGUGCUCGAGCGAUCGCAGAGGUUCAUGAAGGGGUAUGCGGAGCUCACCAGUCUGGACGAAAAAUGCGAUGGCUACUCCGACGACACGGUUAUUUUUGGCCGAGAAUACUAAAAGAUUGUAUCGAGUUUGCACGAGGAUGCGUGCAGUGCCAAAUCCACGGGCCUAUACAAAGGGUCCCGGCCGAAUCACUACAUUCGGUCAUUAAGCCGUGGCCGUUUAGAGGAUGGGCCAUGGAUGUAAUCGGCAAAAUCAUGCCGACUUCCGGAGCUGCUAAGCAUGCAUGGAUAAUGGUCGCAACUGAUUACUUCACUAAGUGGGUCGAAGCAAAAUCAUAUGCCGAGUUAACAUCUAAAGAGGUUUGCGAUUUCGUGGAGGAACACAUUGUGACCCGAUUCGGUGUUCCAGAAACGAUCAUAACUGACAAUGGAACAAUCUUCACAGCCGAAAGGUUCAAAGAAUACACGGCCAAUUUAAAAAUUCGGCUGGAACAAUCCACACCGUAUUAUCCGCAGGCGAAUGGAUAGGCCGAGGCAAGUAAUAAAGUGUUGAUCGGCAUCCUCGAAAAAAUAAUAAAAGAGAGGCCUGGCAUGUGGCAUUUGAAGUUGAACGAGGCAUUAUGGGCAUACCGAACGUCGUCCCGAUCGGCGACUGCAACAACCCCGUACGCAUUGACUUAUGGACACGAUGCGGUGCUACCAGUCGAAUUGAGCAUAAAUUCGUUGCGAUUAAUUGAACAAAGUAGUUUAUUUAGCGCCAAAUAUAAUCAGUCCAUGAGACAGGAACUAGAAGAUUUGGAAGAGGCGCGACUUGACGCUUAUAACUUAUUGGUGGCACAGAAACAGAUUGCCGAGCGAGCCUAUAAUCAAAAGGUACGACAGAAAACGUUCGGCGAGGGUGAAUUGGUGUGGCAAACGGUGCUGCCCGUAGGAAUAAAAGAUCCUAGGUUCGGCAAGUGGUCGCCGAAUUGGAAAGGGCCGUUCAUUGUGCAUAAGAUAUACGGUAAAGGGGCGUAUCAUCUUAAAGACCGGACUGGAGUAGUUCACAAAUUACCAAUUAAUGGGAAGUUCUUGAAGAAAUACUAUCCGGUCACAUGGGAAAUGCGUGAAUAAAAAAUUUGUUGUAGAAAAAGUCAUUCCAUUAAAAUUGACAGGUAUUACAAAAAUGAGUAGGUCGAAUACAUUCAAGGAGACGAGGGAAGAAGAGUGCUGAGCAGAGCUUUCAACUCCAACCACCGCACGUCGGCCAUGAUGACUUCGGCUUGCCGAUUCUUUUUGUCCAGCCUCAGGCGCUCGACCCGUUUUUUGGCUGCCGCAUACUCAGUUAGCCGAUCCUUCCCGCCUGACUCGAAGUCCCUCGCAAGCUCAGAAGCGAUGACCGACCGGCGUUUUGCUAGUUCGGCCAUCUGACGGUCGAGCUCGGCUAACGCUUCUCCUUUUGCCCGUAGAUCGUCAAUCUUCGGACGGAGGGUGUCUUGAACGACCGUGGCGGCUUGCAGGUCCUGUUCGGCCUUCAGAGCAGUCUGGAAGAUGCCAAAUGUCUCCCAAACGCGCUCCAAGGCAGACGAUGCCCGAACAAUGGCAUCUCCGCUUAGGCGACCGUCGGCCCCAAGGUCGUUCAGACACAUGCCGAGCAGAUCAAGACCGUUGCGCUCAAGUACUUGCGAUGAUGAGAGCGACAUGACUUCUCGCAACUGGGUUAGGGCGCUUGGAUCGGCAGCCUCAGUUGGAGCGGCCGAAGGGCCGGACUCUGCAGUCGUGCUGGAGAGGAGAGCUUUGAAUUCAACCUCCCAUGAAGCCUGCACGAAUAGACAAGGUUAAGCUUAACGGAAGUCAUGACAAGAAUAGCAAGAAGGUGUCGUUUUUAACCUGCCGAGAGGAGACCUCGGCCAUGUCCCCAGGGUCGUUGCUCGAACCUAAAGAACUCAAUGGCCGAGCCCAGUGUCUCAGAUUGCUUCUCACUUCACGCGGCCGAUGGAGGUUAUCUACGUUUGAUGGCCACUGAGGCGGCCAGGAAAUAUAGAUAACGCCCUUCGGCGCAUAGAAUUGACGGUGAAAAGAAUGUACAGGCACCUGACAUUUAGUUUUUCCUUGUUUAGAAUUCUAAAGCAGAAAAGCAAUCAGGAGGAAAAUUGAAGGUACUUACAAAAGCCGAGGUAACCUCCUGUGGAGGAAUGUGGAAGCCUUGGUCUUGAGGAUGGACCGGCGAUUCCGCCGUGGCCUCGGGUUCCUCGAGCAGCCGUUUGCCACGGUCGGCUGCCGAUGGGCGACUGGCGCAGCUGCUUCAGUGGAGGCAGGGACGUCCUGGUCCUGAGAAGGAACGAGAGGAUCGGCCACCGGGGUCGGUUCCUCAACCGUGUGCUUGCCACGAUUAGCCGAGGAGGGGCCGGUUUGAACCGCCAUCUCGGAUACUGGAGGAGGUUGUUGACGAGUAUGAGGACGACGCGCCAGCGGGACCUCGUCGCUCCCCUCACUUUCUUCCAACACGAAGACCGUGGGCUUUGGAUUCUUGGGAGAGGCUCCCUUGGUCGUAGGAACCGCCUGUUGUGAGACAGGUGCCUUCUCGACAGAGGGAGGUACAACUGAUUCGCCGGCCAUAGAGGCAGGCCGCGCUGGGGCCGUCUCUAUGGCCGAAGCCGGCUGUUUCUUGACCCCAGAAUGGCCGGCGGCGGGAGAAGGGGAAGCACUGGGAGUCGUCGUGUGACUGGAGAUAACAUGGAUCUCCCGUGCACCUUUCUUCGCCAGUUGUUUGACCCGCUUGGCAGGCGGGGAAGGCUCGAUAGCCGGCCCGGCCUCUUGGAGAGGCCGUUUGAUCAGCACGGCCCUACCAGCGGGUUUGUCCUUUUGGGCCACGACCGAUUUUUUCCCGGCCGUAGCAGCGGCAACUGCCUCCGUCUUUCUCAAAGGCCGACUACCUAAAAGGAUAAAGACAAUUCAGUGAGGCAAAUCAAUAUGCAAGGUUGAUGGAAAGGAAGAAAAUGGAACAGGUACCUUGAGUAUGAGGGGCCGAGGCCUUCUUAGGUCGGUCGCCGAAGAGUCUGCUCACCACAUCUUCGACCGGCGCACUAAAGAACUCUUGGGUGUAAUUUUCCCACCACUCACCGAAGGUGUCGGUGCAGUGAGUUUCUGGGGUGGCUGGUCGAAGCCGGAAUUUUUGGCAGUGCUCUUGGAAUUCCCUCACGGCGGUUCUACACUCCUUCUCAGAGGAACGAGGUUCGCGUCCACGGCUUAGGACCGAUCGGGAGGAGAGAAGGGGGAUAGGGCAGCCCUGAAGAUAGCCGAGCUGUCGGGAAAGGAAGUUCGGAUGAUAUACUUCCCAACCUGACCGUUUCCCAUCACAGCCAAGAGGGAGGUCGCGAGCAAGCACAAACGACCCCCAGGUCUGACGAAGAUCGGUGUCCUCCUCUGCACUCCAUGGGGAGGUAGGCAGCCUGAUGGAGGAAGGAUAGUCUCGACGACGACAUGUUAGGAACUCGUCGUUGGAGAAGUCGUCGAGAGCGAAGAGGUACCGAAAUACCUCUUCGGCUUGAUGGGGAGGUGUUGGUCGAGAGGCCAGUUGAGGUCCAAGCGCCUCUGUUGGUGAGAAUUCAGCUAUGGCCGGCCGAAGGGAGGCGAAGUAUACCUGCAACCAGAGCUGGAAGACCCAGAGGGGACCAGUCUGGUGUGGGUCGACCUUGUGGAGGGUCGCAUCGGCCAGGCAGCGGAAAAGUUGGGCGAGAAUAUUGGAACUCAGUGCCAAGACGUGACCACUAGCCAAGGCUUCGGCUACCGGCAUGUUCUCGACCAAACACUUGUUUGACUUGGUACAACAAACGUAUUUGUUGUACCAGUAGAAGAGGAAGGCUUCAUGCUCCCUCUCUCGCAGGUCCUCUUCUCCUCGGCCGGCGAAGUGAAGAUAGAGGGUGUUGUAAUUGCAGAAGUUCUUGUGGAGCUUCUGAAUAUCUUCCUUCGACGGAAUAUGACCGUCACGGUUCAAGGUCUCGAAGGCCCGACGGUCGAAGAGCGUUUUCAGGUCGAUAUUCGACGGAUGCCCAGAGAGGGUCGCAUCGACAGGGAUCCCGGUCGCCGAAGUCCCCAGAAUGGCAGUGAUAUCCAGGACGGUGGGACCAAUGGGACCCAGAGGAAGGACCAUUGUGUUGGUGGCCGAGCACCAGAAGCACAGAGCGGCUUGGAGAAGCUCCUUGUCGGGGACGAUUUCCAUAGACGAAAGGAGAAUGGCGUCGUAGAUGCCAAGGGUCUUCCAUUGCUCGCCGAAGAGUCGUUCCAUUCGAACGACCCAGGCUGCCCAGGAUGUGGUCGUCGAGGGCCAGGAGCCCUGGGGUUUAGCCGCAUCCCAUCGCGACCAUUCAAACCCUUGAAGCAAGGGUGUUAGGCAGUGCUCCUGGAGAAGGCCGAUGAUAGUCGGCGGAAUUGUAGCCUUGAAGAGAGGACCCAGGAUUUGGUACUGGGUGCUCAUGUCGUUUUCAAACUGGAUGGUCUUGAUCGAGCUCCGAUCAACAAUCUUCUGGUGUUGGUCACAUUCCCUGGAAAGCUUGGAGAUGAAGGACGCCAUUGUGAGAAAGUGACACGGAGUAAAAGGGUUGUCUGGGUUGGGGAUUUACAAACGAAGACUUGGAAUAAGAGAAAUGCACUAGAAAUCAAUGGCAGAGGAUUUCAGGAAGUUUGAGAGCGUAAAAGUACAAAUGAGGGGAUUUCGGUAUUUAUAGAGUUAUGGGGGGGAAGAGCAAUCGUUCGAAAUUCAAAACAAAUGGCAAAAUCGACCGGAUGAAUCAUUGAUCAUGAUGAACAUUUGGGAAAUGCGGUUGAGAAGACCGACGGUUUUAGGUUUUGGGGGCGCACGAUCGCGUGUGACGGCGAAGUUAAUGACGAAAGACGAUUUGACGCCUGCACGAUGACAGGUGGGCUCACGGAUUGAUGUACUGGCUCGCGGAUUGAGAUAGUGGUCAUAAUGGCAAGACGGUUCGGGCAGGCGCACGCUUCAGACGUCAGUAUCGGGGAUUGGCCAUGGUAGAGGAUGCCACGUGGCGAGUAGUUUAGCAGGAUCAAGAUCGUGCGAUCGUGUUCAAUAAAUGCGCCUUGAAACUCGGGUAUUGGGAUCCUGAGUGGUAGAUUCGCUUCUUCAAGGCCGAAACUGGGCCGAAGGUUUCAGGCCGAGGACCUCAGAAGCGAGGGGGCAAUGUUUGGGCCCAAAAUGACAGUUUGGGCCGAGGGAGGAAUCACUUUUGGCCCGGGAAGACGUACGGCGAGAGGGUCAUGGGAUGUUCAGCCCAUGGGCUUCCAGGCCUAGGUCGGUUAAAACAGAGUGCAAGUCGAGUCCUAAUACAAUAGGGACCCUUGACGAGAUCAGUAAAACUAGAAGGCGAAUCCGGCUCAGUUAAGGACUAGAUUCGAGUCCUAGCAGAGAUAGGACUGGUCGAAGUAAUCUGGAGAGGGAAACCUAGUUCAAAUAGGAUUGGAACUCGGGCUCGGUGUUCUGCUACUAUAAAUACAAGACGUUCAGCAAUGGAAAAAGCCCCUACAAAAUCCAUACAAAAUUGCCCUGCGCAAACUCUCACAACUUGUGAUUUUUCUUUUUCCUUUUUCGCUGACACAUCUUCCGUUGGCAUCAACAGCACUGUGGAAGCAACCGGUGAUAUCUUAAGUCGGCAUAGAUAGCUCUGUCACCGUAGAGUCAGUCAGUCUCGCAGUACCUUCCGUUGGCAUCAACAGCACUGCGGCGAGAACGAUUGAUUACCUAUCCAAGUCUCGGUCGAGAAGGGUUUCUAAAUCCUUAUUGGUCGAGGUCAUCUCAUCAGCCUUCUCGGCGAAGUGAGGUGUUACAGUUAUUACAUUCGGCACAUUGAAAGCCGAAUUUGAUAUUGAACUUCGUAAGAAUAGUAACCUUGUCUUCAGGUUCGAGAGCCCAAGAGGCCGAGACGUGUUCCUUUCUCGGCCGCAAUCGCAAGACGCAGAAGUCAGUAGCGCGACCCAACGCAACAUCAACAAAUUUACUCCUCGGCCGAGCUCGGCCGACGAGUUGGCACGCCCCGCAUUCACCGAAUGACGUAGUUAGCUUAGAACAUACUCGACCUGCGCGCCACGUAGGCUUUGUAGUUUCUAGGGUCAACAGUAUCAAUGGCUGAAUUUGAGGAGGAAAGUACGGUAGCUCAAAAUUUUUCAUCUACCCACCACUUUUUGAAAAAGAGUUAAAACAUCUCUUCCACCAUUUCACCCACGGUUGUCACAACAUCGCCUACAGAAAGUUCAAUUCAGAAGGGUCUUUUUAGCUUUGAGACUAGAAAAAAAAAAAAAUGUAAGAGCUUUCAUUGUAAGUAUCUCAGUUGUCUCUAUAUUUUCAAAUAACCUAACAUUUACUAAUGUAUUAAUCUUUCUUCUAUUUAUAUGGAUUUAAGGGAAACUGAAAUUACCGAAGAAAUAGAUGAACAAAAAGCUUCCGACACUAAAGAUUUUCCCAUCAAAUCUCUCAGGAACAAAGUGUAUCCAAACAAAUCUAAAAUAGUGUUUACUACUUCCAAAACCCAGUACGUUACAUCUAUUUGUUAUUAAAACACAUAAUUUCAUAACUCAAAUUUUAUCAUAAAUCUUAUACAAAGAAUUUAAUUUCAAUCUACAGCAAAAACAAGUGCAAAGAUGACUGAAGUUCCAUGUAACAAUAUAGAACAAAUGGAAGAUUUUUUUAUGAGCCCAAGGACAUAGAAGUAACAUGAAAAAUAGUACCAUGUGGGCAAUUUUUGAAACUAUAUAUAUUUGGGACUUAAAAGUCCAUCCUUUUAGUCGUUCAAAUAUGCUUUUUUGGUUGUAUGUAGAACUUUUAACGUAGAGUUAGUAAAAUACAGAUGUAAAAUGAAUGACUAAUCAAUGUGGGAGACUUUAGGAAGUGUAUAUAAUUGUAACUUAGAAAUUUCCCCUUUGGAUUGCAAAUAUGCUUUUGAUGUAAAGUAAAUAGAAUGUCAUGUAACUUAAAAACCUAUUUUACCCUGUUUGUUUAGUUGUUCUAUUAAUUUAUAAAAUGUUUUGGAAUGAAUGUGUUGAUUUGUGUAUAGUAAUAUAUGUGUUGCAACAUCAGGUUCAACUUUGUCUCAAAUAUGCAUAAAAUUAUUGUUGAUACCUAUAGUAAAUUUUGAGCUAAGCUUUGAUACAAGUUACAUUAUCACUAACAGAUUUUGUUGCACCACCUCCUUUUCUACUUAUGCUACAAGGAAUCAUGACUCGAUUUCGAGUCUCAUUUUAGCCACAUCACCGCCAACUAAUACUGCACCUUAGAUACCAAUUAAACAGCCAUCACUCUCAAAUUCAUAUGGAAAACUCAUCAUAUGAAUUGUAUAUUGGUGUUACUUAGAAAUCCGAUAUUGAUGAAUUAUUUAGAAAUAAAUGAGUUAAAUUGUGAUUAUGGAUUCAUAACCCGCAAUGGAGCGUGGGCAAUUUUGCUAGUUAGUUCUAUAGAGUCUCAUCAUUUAUGAGAGGAUUUAUAAGACACAAUAUGUUGUACUGUUUUUCAUUUUAAACGUCUGGCCAUAAUAUUUGUAAAAACAAAGGACAAGAUAUUCUUCUAAUUUAAUUGAAAUAGGUCUUUGGACCGAGCCAGCAGAGCAAGUGAAUACGUUGAAGCUUUUUGACUGGAAGUUUGGAUCCCAGUCGUUUAUUGCCUCUAGUGAAGUUACUUUAAAGGCUGAUCAAGCAAGUCAAAAAAGCCACCAACUUUUGGGGUUGCCAAAUUGCAACUGGUUACUAGAUACAGCCUAAUUUGACUUAAAUUUAGAAUUAAUCUCUGAGCUAUAACUUUAACCUAGUUUUCAUCUGUUAAUUUUGUUCCUUAAAUUUAACAAAACAUGGAGCAAUGAUCCAUUCCGUUAACUUCUGUUAAAAAAUGCAGAGCCCACGUGUCCGGUUAAAGAUACCACAUAGAUAAUUAUGAAAAAUAAAAUUGAAAUAACAAAGUUGAAGUUAACAACUCAGCACAGUAGGAAAAUGCAAAUUAUAAAAAUACAGAAGACUACCAAAGUUGACGGUAAGAACAGCAAUCUGAAUCAAAAUUUGGAUUUUUUUUCUUGCAUAAAACACCAAGUCAAAUCCAGAACACCAAGAAUUUAGCAUAAAGACAGCAUCUCAGGAUGAAUAAUACAUUACUUCCUCUCUCAUUUCUCAAUAUCUCGUCUCUUUCGGCCCCCAACAAGCAAAUUGUCAACAGUACUCUCUCCCCCUCUUCAAGAUGUCUCUAUACCGGGCUCCCGUAUCUGAAUGGAUGUUUUUGACAAACUUGCUUCAAGUUCAUUUAACUCAUCCAAGUCCAACUCGUCAUCAUCAUCAUCAUCAUCAUCAUCAUCAUCAUCUUCAUUAUCAUUAUCGACGGGGACUUCAGAACCAGCAGCACUAGUAGAGGCGCUUGGUCCUCCUGCUGCUGAGUUGUCUUUGGCCUGAAAUGGAACAGAGUCAAAACUCAGAUAACAAAAUAAAAUGGAAAUUGUCCAUGUAAAUGGGAACCAUACAACAAUAUUUGAACCAGGUAAUCUAAGAGUUUAAGAAAGCACUGUAUACAAAAGCACAUCCAUAAUAUAAAUGCUCCUUGUUUCAGAAUUUUUGGUCCUCGGGUAAUGAGUAAAAACAGUCCUUCAAAGUUAUGAUAAUACUUGUCUGCCAAAACUAGAAAAACCAAAGCGGAGAUUUUGGUUCAUGAGUUACUGAUUAAUAUUCUUUUUUAUACGAAACAAACUUUUAUUAAUGAAAAAAAUAGGACAACAAAGGUGAACCAAGUCGUCCACUACUAAGAAUGUAUGAAAUUUUCUCUCCAGUGUUUUCACAUCAACAUUAAACUUCAAUCUCAAAAUGUCUUCAUUUUCUUUGGCAUAUGUGAAAAGCGUGUAUCAAGGUUAAAAUCAUGUUUUGAAGAAAAUGGUUUUUAUCCAUAUGUCCCGUAGAUUCUCCCCAUAGACUAUCUACAAGUCAAAAGGGGACCACUCCUUCGAAACAGGAGGAACCUAAACUUUUGAAACAAAUUAAAAUGACCAGUUUUAUAAGGUUUGACCUCCUUGAUCACAGGAAAGACGGGGAGAACAAACAAUAAUUCAUGGCCAAACAAAGGAAGUAACAAGUAGCGAAAUGAAUAUGAUCACAUAAGUGAACUACGGAAGUUCAAAGCACCAGCCAACUAAUAGAAUUUUUGUGGCCUAAAAUAACAUGGCAACAAUUAACAUGAAGAGAGUGCACAUACAUGUAGGCAUGUUAACGGUAAGAGCACAAGUUUACAGAGUCACAGAUGCUCGCUUUACACGGUUCAUGGUUAGAACAGAAGUCAGUCAGAGUAUGCUCAUAAGGCAUGGAACAAGGCAACAGACAGAACCAGAAAGGGCUAAGAAAAACAUAGUAUAAACCCUUAAAAGGAUCUUGAUGCAUGCAUCUGUAAUCAAAAUUUUAUGAUCUCACCAGAAAAAAAAUCUUCACACCAUGAUCUAGUAUAAACGAAACCAACAAAGAGAUACAAUGUGAAAAACAUAAUGUGAUAAGAACAAGGAUUUAAAAAGGUCGUACCCAGUGCAUAAGGCUCCCGCUUUACGCAGGGUCUGGGAGAGGUGAAUGUCGGCUAGUCUUACCCCCAUUUAUGGAGAGGUGAAUGACAGUACCAACAGAGAAUCUUAUUGGCUUCAAUCACAUAAUUUUGGUAUUACCUUGGCGAACUUAUAAGAAUGUUCAAAGAUCCCUUCAACCCAUCUUUCACAGCGUUAUUACUACAAUAACUGUCAAUUCUGCAACCCCCCCCCCCCCCCCCACCAAAACAAAACCAAAAUGCAAUGGCCUGAACCCCAGCAUUAAAAUUAUGUGAUUGAAAAAGAGCAGAUGUGGACUCUUAUCUCUGUUGGUAAGCCAAUGAUUUUAUUUGGCAGCUAAAAAGCAUGCUGACUUGAGAUACGGAAACCUCGCUUAAUACAAAAAGGAAGCAAAUUCACAGAUAGAAAUAAUAUUCACACAAGACAGUGAUGAGAAGUUGGAAGUUAAAUUUUAGCCAAAAUAAUACCAAAAGAACAUACUAAGGCUUCACUGACUUCAAAAUGGUAUACUAUUAGUCCAUAAAAUCAAUUGCACGCAUAUACCAAAAGGACAUAUUACCUUCUCUUCAGAAGCCUCAGGAUCUUGUCUUUGGUAUUUUUCAUAUGCUUCAGCAUCAUCCACAAACACACUAGCAUCCGAAAGAAACAACUCACGACCACUGAAAUACAGGAAAACUUCAGUCAAUAGCAUAAAACAAAAAAAUUUACAAAAACGCAAAAAAAAUAAAAAGGAACAGAACCUCAUGCGGUCAUUCUUAGCCCUCUCUGCUCGUUGUGCAGCCAAGCCAGCCUCUUUCUCUUCAGUCUUUUUAUUCCUCCAUUGCAUGAACAACUCAGUGGUCAUUGGAGUAAUCGUUGUUACUUUUGCACGCUGCAGUAACCAGCAGAUGAUCAACAGUAAGAAUUAGAUAUACAAAACCGAAGAAAUAAAGCUAAAAGUACCGAGGGAUACUAUACAUAUAGUUGCAAAUGUACAUAAGGUCUCUAUCACAACACAUGGAUAAAAUGAAAAAGUAAAGUCAACAAAAUCAAUAUGAUCAUCACCUGAUUUUCAAUUUCAUCCUCAAUGGCAACUUUUUCAGCCUCUUCAUCAAGAAGCGCCUUCAUCUGAGAUUUCAAAACAUAACCAGGAGGAAGAGCAUGUCUGUAGUGGCACUCUUUUCCACCAUUUGGACAAGACCAAAACCAACCAUACUGCUUCUUUUCCACUGCAUCUAAGAAGUGUUUGCAAACCUGUACAUAUAGAAAGCCUGCCUUAGAUUCAUAACUACAUUCAGAGAUUUCACAUUACCAAAUGAAUAUGGCCAAAAUUAGAAAAAGCAUGUUAUUUUCUACCUGUCACUAUUUUUAAUGUUUAUAUUUUCUCAUCUCAAAGACAAAAAAUAAUUUCUCCUCUAUUAUUCUACAACUCAACCCAAUUUAACUCACUAGCAUAGCCUACAAUAGAGAAUCCAAACUAAAUCCCAAAUAUUGUUUCACAUUACAGAUUCCUUACAAGAAUGUCUUAAGUAACAUUCAGCACCGCAAACAGCCAAACAGAGUAAACCAACAACUGAAAUGAGUAAAAGUAAAAGUAUCCAUCCGCCAAAUCUAUCUACAUAAGACAUAAAUUGAUCACCUGAACUCUACAUGUACUUGCAUAAAGUUGUAACAUACCCUAUUGUCAAUGACUUGUUCUUUCAGUUAUCAGAUUACGACAUUAAUGAUUUAACUCUUAACAUAACCCUUAGGAUCAAGGAUUGCAAAACUGACCUACAUCACCUAAACUAGUAUUAAAAGAAGACCGAUGUCCCAUGCAACUAAGACUGUGCCUCCCUCUUCUUUUUUUACUCCUCAUGAAACAUAUUAUUGAUGUAAUGGGUAAUAUGCCCAGAAAUGCCUCCAUAUUCCAUCCUAAAUCAUCAGAAACAUUUAAAGGGUGGGUAUGGAGGAAGGAAGGAGGGAUAGAUAGAUGAAUAUCUAAAGACAGAUAGAGAGCAACACAUUCAAAUGCAAAUUACACUAAAAGCUUCUAUAUCAGAUAUAAAAAAACAAUUUACGAUAAGAAAACCGACAUACAAUUUCAGUGGGCUUAUUCUGGUUAUACUCAUUCUUCUUUGACUCCACAACCUUUUCCAACGUCGCUUGAUCCCAAUCCUCCAUAGUGUCUGAAAAAUAAUCAGUCUAGCAUAAGCAAAACAUGUGCGAUAAAUUAGCAUCAGAACAUUAAACAAGAUAUGUUAAUCCCCUCACCUUCAUCAUCACGCUUAUCACUGUAAAUAUCAAUCUUUUCACCCUUCCUCUGGACAUUCAAGUCAUGCGAAAACUUGCACUUGAAUCCCUUGGUACAUUGCCCAAACUUGAAAAACUCGCAUAAUAUAGACUUGGGAUCAACACCUAUUCAAAUUCCCAAUUCGAUUACAAGCAUAUCAAAACCAAUCCGCUAUCGAACACAAUAUAAUCGACCAUCACCAAACAAAAUUACAAAAAAUGUGAGAGUUGCAGUACAUACUAGUACUACAUACCAGCUGGCACUUUCGGCUGACUAACAGCAACCUUAAACAAAUCAUUGAGCUCCUUCUCUUUGGCUUUCUCUUCCUCCUUCUUUUUCUGCAAAACCCAUCAAAAUUUGAUAAAACCCAAUUCCAACCCAAACACUAACUCCAAUAAAAAUAGUUAAUUUACAUUCUCAGCUAAUUUUCUGCGUAUCCAAACAGAACCCAAUAGGGGAAAAACAACAGAGAUAUAAAUCGGACCUUGGCUUUGGCUGGGUCUACUUUGGGCUGGACUGCCUGCUUGAGAUUCUGGACGUACUUCUGGACGUUCUUGCUCUUGUUCUUGUUCUUGAGCCCGAAGGUUUUGUCCUCCACAACCUUCUGCUUCUUCGCCAAGUCGGCCUUCGAUGCCUUUGGCGGCAUGACUACGUCGAUUCAACGAACAGACAAAAUUAAUGGAAAAAGGGGGAAAUUUGAGCAACCAGUGUUUCCAAAUUGAAUAAAAGUUGUUAACUUCCGGUGGGGAUUUGCUUAAUUUUGAAUCAGAGAUGACGAUUAGGGUUUUCGAGAGCCCUCUCUGUGCGCGAGAAGGAAGGGCGAGCGGAGGUCGAGUGAGGUGUUUUGUUUGGGUGACAUAAAAUGCCAACUUUGCUCGUGUCGAGUGCCAUGUGUCAAAAGUCAUCUCAUAAGUGUUAUAAAUAGGCAAAAUUUAGAGAGCUAACAUUUGCUAAGGACAUGAGCGAAGCGUGAGCAAUGACGUAGCUAUGUUAAGGACUAUCUUGGGCUAUAUCCCAGCUAGCUUUUCGUAAAAAAUUAAAAUUUUACAUGUAAUUUUUAUUGAUUUUCGAAUGUAGCCCAUUAUAUAUUUAAUUACUAAUCUUAAUUCUUUUGAUUUAACCAUAUAAAAUUAUAUAAUACAGUUUACAAACCAUCUCUUUUUAUUACAUCAUGUUUCUCAUCACUUCUUGUACAUGUACAAGUUUGGAUUUGUUUGAAUUUUAAUACGUAUUUGUUUAAUAACGAAAAUUCUUAGCUUACCUUGUGAAAUUUUCUUAAGCUAGAGCACACUCUGAAAAUUACAAUAUUAAGUUUCUUUGUUUAUAAAGAUUUAAAUCUUUAAGCUAGCUCACCCAAUGAAAAUUUCCUAGCUGCGCUAUUGGAAGCGGGUCCAAUUUAUCACACCGUUUAGUUUCGUAACUCUAACAUAAAAGGAUGGCAGGUAAAGAGAGAAAGAUAGGAAUAUUGAUAUUAUUGUUUUCACUUCUUUUCUUUUUGAUGUGUAUUGUGAUCACACACAGAAUGCUUUUUAAAUAAAGCCACACCUGUGAAAACUUACAAAGGUGAAAUAAGAGCUCAUUAAAAAACCUCAUACAACAACAUGGUCACUAUUCUAAAGUUUUCCUCACAUUUGGCUAAAAACACGUAGGCAUUCACUCCCACAACUUUUUUUUUUGAAUCAAAAGUUUACUUUAUUUAUAACACAACAGAUAGAUUACAUAAGAGAAUGCCCAAAUAUAAUAAACACACAAACAAAAAACAUGGGCCUCCACAACUUUUACAACAAGAAGUUUGUUUGUUUGUUUUUUUUUUUUUUUUUUUUUUUUACCUCAAAUUGCUUUUAGAGCUUUGAAGUUUGAAGAUGUCUAACUUCAAUGUUCAAAAUCUACUUAAGGUUUUUAAGCCAAUUUGGUAUGUUUGCAGACUCUAGACUUACGUACACCUGCGUUUAAUUCUUAUGGAGAAAAUUUCAAAUGUGUUUUGUAAGAUAGAAUGAUUGAGACACGUAUAUUGUAUGAAAAAUGGAAGACGGAAACUGUCAUUUGCUACUUAUACAGGCAAUUGCAGAUGUCAGUCAUUGUUUCAAUUAGGGCAUGUGAUCUAUACGAUUUGGUUAACUUAACCAAUCUCAGAAAAUUGGCGUUAAAGCUAUGUGACAGGGAAAAAACAAUCAAGGAAUUAACCAUCAAAAGGAUGGUUCCUGAAUUAUGUAGCAGCCUUGGGGGAGGGGGAGAGGAUUUUUACAAAAUCCAACAUGGGCAUUCUGUUAUGAUUACACCUGCUGUGAGUAGAGAAUUUUUGUGGAAUCAAAUGGUAAGUUAAAUGUCCUUUUGUUCCUGCACAAAUUAAUUUUCCGUUGCGUUUUUAAGAUGACAUUUUGGAAUGACAAUAACAACUCUUUUUUCGUUUUCUUAUUUUUUCCCCUUGUUUUACAGAUACGUAUGGGGCUGGGCACGGCAAUUUUAGGCAGAUGUCAAGCAGCUUAUGCAUAAUCUCAACGAGUUAAGUGAGAAACUCUGUUCCUUGUUAAUGAGUAAAUAAAUGAAGUUAGCAGUGGCACACAUCCAUUAUCUAGGUGCUAUAUCUAAGUAGUACCCUUUCAAGCAACACUUAAAUUCAACAUGCUUCUACUAAAAGCACUUCUAGCAAAGUAUGCUUACGCACAGAAGGGUUCUAUACUUCUAUUGGAUGCAUUUUCCAUGUCUAACAAAAGGGUUUUAUUUGGAUGAUUUGCUCCAUUCCUGUAUUGAAGAACAUCGUAGGAUUAUUAAUUUUUUUUGUUUUCGUUGCCCUUUGUAACAUCAUCAACUCCCUUUUCUUUCAACUCUAAGUUUCAUACUAUACUUGGAAUGAUCCAGAUCAGCUGCCUGCUUGUACACAAACAGGCUGCAUUUCUUCCGAGCGACUUGGAACGGGCACUUUCAUAAUUUCUCCAGCAAGCAUCUUACAACAGGUGAGACUGGGAUUCCUGUCAUGUUCAAAUUGUUUAGCACCUACCUGUGUGCAGACGCGGGUGGGUGUAGCCACAUUGGCUAUGGCAAAUUUCUCCCACUAUGCAUUCGAGUUGGAAACACUACUGGCACUACAUUUAAUUUAAAGUUGAAUAUCGCUUGUUAAAAAGAAUCUUGAACCGUACACCAUCGUGUCUCACAGAAUAUAUGAUACAAGAGUGCUUAUGCAUAUUUGAACCACUUACAAUGUACACUGAUAUGCAUAUAUCAUUAGAUUCAUUACCAUACUUGGUUGUGGAUACUGGAGAUAAGUCUCUCACCUGCAAGUCUAAAAAUUGUGUAGAACUUAUAACUUGCAUUUGAUUGCAUAUUGUGUUACGAGUGAAAUGAAUUCUAUGCGCGCUAAGAAGUUCCAUCCCUUUUGUUCUUCUUGUAGGUUGUGGAUAAUGUAGAAGCGGCAGUGGACUACAUUCUGUGGAGGAAAGGAACUUCUUAGCGCGGAGUUCAUUUCACCCACCUGCAGAAAAUUUACUUGUGAUGAUUUUAUGCAGACUGUUUUUUGCUUGUAUAGUUGUAUGGCAGAUAUAAAAUUGGAUUGACCGUCUCUUCAAAAUAUAAUUGGCAACUUGCAUCGGAAACUUCACUAUCAUAUAUCGUUGACUUUGUAAAGGUCUUUGUAAAAUUAAAUUAAGAAAUCUCGAGUGCUUUGCUUCUUGUUGAAGAAUUACAAAAUAUUAAUUUGACUUUGCAAAAUAUUUAAUUUGAGUUUGAAUCAGACAGGCAGGAUUAUACUAAUCUUUGGUGGCAUUAUUUCCUGGAUCUAAAAAUCAGAAGGAGGAAAACUGCUUAACAUAGUUGUUGAUCGUCUGAAGAAGAGAGAUUAAUAUGGCCGAUGCUGUUGUUUUAAUGGUGCUUGAACGGCUCACAGACUCAAUCAUUCCGGAAUUGAAACUCUUGGGUGGAGUAGGUGAUCAGGUUGAGCUUGUACAAACCGAGCUACAAUUUAUGCAAGGUUAUCUGAAAGAUGCAGAUGCAAGUCAUGGACAUGAUGAUGAUGGAGUACGCACUUGGGUCGCAAGCGUUAGAGAUGCUGCUUAUGAUCUGGAGGAUGUCGCUGAAGCUUUUGUCUUAAAAGUUGCAACAAAGAAGUGGCCUACUGUGCAGAUAAAAAUGGCUUCAUCUACCAACCGCUGUCAUUGAAUGAAGAUGAAAGUUGGGAACUGUUUGAGAAGAUAGCAAUGUUUCAAAUGGAAGAUACAAGUAUGUUCUCUUCUCACACAAAGCUUUUAUCUCUACUUUUCUUAUUAUUUAUCAAUUGAAUAGGGAUUAUAUCGUUUCAUUUGACACUAGAGUUUGUAUGGAAUAACGACAUAUCAAAUCACACCGCGGAUUCAAGAAUUUACUGAACCCUUGAUCUAGCAUAGAAAUAAUUUGUUAUUUGUGUAGUUCCAAUUUCUAGUUCCCGAGAAACAUAGGUAGUUAAAUGUUCUGGUUUUAAUAGUUUCUCAGACCCUGAAAUUUAUGCAAAGAAGAAAGAUCUAGGAAUGAAGAUGCUUCGACAUUGUGAAGGUUUGCCAUUCGCCAUCACUGUGCUUGUAGGACUUCUAUCUAGAAAAAACUCCGUUGAUGAGUGGGAUAUGGUACAUAUGAAUUUCUAUGCAUACAUAAGGAGAGCCACUGACCUUGGACCUGAAUACGAAGGUGAAGAAUCCGGUGGUGUAUUACGGUUAUUGGCUUUGAGUUAUGAUAACUUACCAUAUCAGUUGAAACUAUGCUUUCUCUAUUUAGCCCAUUUUCCGAAAGAUUAUGAAACACCGGUGAAUAGAUUGACUCAACUAUGGAUGGCUGAAGGUUUUGUAUCAUCAACAUCCAUGGAAAAAAUGGAAGAUGUAUCUUACGGGUGCUUAAGUGAGUUGGUAGACAGGUCUAUGGUUCAAGUUGGACAACAUGGUUUAACAAAGAAGAUUAAGACUAGUUGUCUCCAUGGUCUUAUGCGAGAUUUGUUAUGGUGAAGGCAAAAGAGUGGAACAUUCUUCGUAUUAUCAAUUACUCUGCAGCCACAGUAACCAAGGAAACAACGAGCGGUAGAGUUCAAAGACUUGCCAUCUAUUUGGAAAAGGAGCUUGAUUUUUAUUAUCUAAACAGAGAUGAAAGAGAUAGACAUCUUAGGUCUAUGCUUUUCUUUGUCCCAAAACAGUUUAUUUUGAACCUAAAUUUCGGUCAAAGAGUACUACGGUCACUGUUAAAUAGCUACAAACUUCUCAGAGUUUUGAAGUUUGAAGAUAUUUUCAUGAGAAGAAGCUUCAAGUUACCAGGUGAAAUUGGGAAUCUGGUCCACUUAAGAUUUUUAAGUCUAAGGAAUACUAAGAUGCAAGAGCUUCCAUCGUCUGUGGGUAAUUUGGUAUGUCUGCAAACUCUAGAUUUACGCGGCACUAAUGCUCAUUCAGGGUUGCUGCUGAAAGUGCCAAACGUGUUGUGGAAGAUGGAGAAAUUGAGACAUGUGUAUUUACCCUCGAAUCCUCGAUAAUAAGAGGAGAAGAGAGACUGUCAUUUGCCACUCAUGCAAGUAAUUUGCGGACGGUGGUCAAUGUUUCAGUUUCGGCAUCUGAUCUGUAUGAUUUUGUUAACUUGACCAACCUUCGAAGAUUGGAGGUAAGGCUAUUUGACGACGAAACCAUCGAGAAGGGGAGCCUUACAUUUGACAAUCUGCAGUCUCUAUCAAUGGCAUCUUUUCAUGAUGGAGCGUGGAACGUAGUAUUAAGCUGUCCUCAUAUAUACAAGCUGCGAGUAAAGGGACGUAUCAGACAGUUACCAGAAGACCUCUUGUUCCUUCCAAACCUCACCGAGCUAACACUCUGUGGAAUUCAUCACGAUCGUCUCAAGGACGAUAACAUAGAAAUACUAGAGAAGCUGCCAAGCUUACGAAUGCUUUUCCUGGAUAAUAAUGCUGCCCUCGGCUAUUUUCCCGGACCACUUGUUUGCUCAGCAGGAGGCUUUCUUCGUCUUGAUUUCCUUUCUCUUCACAGCUUGAUAGAAUUAAAGGAGUGGAGGGUGGAGAAGGGAGCCAUGCCUAGUCUCUCCAGGUUGCACAUUGAGCGUUGCUCGCCCUCGUUUACAGUUCCAGACGGCCUUCGGUAUGUUACUACCCUCAAGGAAUUAACCAUCAAAGGGGUGACUCGUGGAUUCGGUAGCGGGCUUGAGGAAGGAGGAGAGGAAUUUUACAAAAUCCAGCAUGUGAACUCUGUUUUGAUUACGGAUUUUUUCACUUCCCCUUCACUUGAAUAUUGGAGGACUUAAACAGUUCGACUUUUCUGAAUGACGAGCUUGUUUACCAUUUUAUGGGAGACACUUGAUGUUGACAUGCUUUUAAUAAAAGCACUUUUAGCAAACUACGCUUAUAAAAGAAUUACGGUGAAGUUGAAUGUAUUUGAAGACUUCUUGUAAAAUUGUUGAUAACUUGAAGCAAAAAUAGGAGAUUUCUUUUAUUCGAGCAUGUCAACAUUCACUCCAAAUUUACAAUUCACUCGACAUAAAUAUCAACCCGUUUGAGAUUAUUUAUAUAGUGAGAGAUGUCAAAUCUAAGUGUUUUUUAUCUGUCAUCUACUGAAAAAAAAAAAUAAAUAAAUAAAAGUUAGUGAUUGCCUAAUUAUUUCCAACAGGACUCAUUUGAGAGUACGUUUUUAGAAAAUAUUUUUUAAUUCUAUAAUUUGAAAUGUUUUUUUAUUUUUAAAGAAUCACUAGUUAUAUGCUUCUGUUUUUUUUCAAAUUCACUUACAUUUUACAAAAGAUUGAUUUCAAAAACAUUUUCAUAGAAAAUGCUCUCAUUCGUAUUAAAACACUUUCAACGAGACCGAAGUUCUUGAUAUGUAAUCACAACACAAUAUAAUCACCGGAAUCUUCCACCCAAUAAAAACAAAUAGACCCGCUUGUUACUUGUUACUGGAGAGCUCAAAGAUUCUAUGGAAGCUGAAAGCAAGGGUGUUGUCUCCGCACUCAAAGGGGACUAUAUUGUGAUAUCAGAGGUGGGACGAGGCUCUUUCUCCACCGUUUGGAAAGCCGUGCACCGGCAAAGCGGCAAGGUGGUGGCUCUCAAGCAGGUCCACCUUUCCCGACUCAACCGCCACCUCAAGAACUGCUUGGAUUGCGAGCUCAAUUUCUUAUCCUCCGUUAACCACCCAAACAUCAUCCGCCUCCUCAAUGCUUUCCAGGUUUUCAAUCACCCUCCUCGCCUUUCAAUUGAUUCGAUUAUAAAAGUUUUUCUUGUGAUUUUUAUUGUGAAUUUGUUAAUUUGUUUUCGUGAAGUCAAGCUCAUAUGUUCGUUGUAGGAUGAAAGCUGCAUAUUCAUGGUGUUGGAGUUUUGUGAUGGGGGAAAUCUGGCUGCUUAUAUCCGGCAGCACGGGCAAGUUGAAGAACAGAUUGCCAAGAGAUUUAUGCAGCAGCUUGGUAGCUUCUUAACUUUUUUUGCAUCUUUACUUGUCUUCAGGCCGCUUUGAUACUCCGGUCUGAAUAUAAUCAAAUUCUUGUUUUGGUUGCAGGAGCCGCGUUGAAAAUACUACAUUCGCACCACAUCAUUCAUCGAGACUUGAAACCGGAGGUAAAAACAAGAGUUUAUGGAAAGAUGGUAACAAAAUGCAAUUAGAGAUCUUGAAAUCUAUGCUAAACAAUUGGUUUUGUUAUACAAAUUGAAUGCAUAUUGAUUGAUUUCAACCUUUCGGAUUGCAUUGCACCCUUAAUGUGGAAUUGAAUCGUAAAUCUCUAUCAGAAUUCUGUAAAUCGGCUGAAUUGUUGUAUUUUGUAUUACUAGAACAUUCUACUCUCUGGCACUCAAGAUGAUGCGGUGCUAAAGGUAGCUGAUUUCGGCCUCUCAAGGUAAACUCUAGCAGAGAGAUCCAUAUGCCGAAAUUCAUCCGCUAACCCAGUUUAGGAUGUGUUUAGUAUGAUUUAAAGCAACCAACUGUGGUGGUUUCGUUCCUUAUUAGCUUAUCUUUGCUGCCGUGUACAGAAGUUUACAUCCAGGUGAUUAUGCGGAGACAGUUUGUGGAUCCCCGUUGUACAUGGCACCUGAAGUUCUUCAGUUUGAAAGAUACGAUGGGAAGGUACGGUCUUGUCUAUAACUUGUGUCAUUUUCCCCUUUCAAUCACGAUAAAUCAAAAUUGACGGAUUCAGUUUAUAGGUUGACAUGUGGAGUAUUGGCGUAAUUCUUUUCGAGCUUCUCAAUGGUCGCCCUCCUUUCCCUGGUAGGACUAAUGUUCAGGUACUAACUUCCCGCUUUUUGUCGGAAAAGGUCCUUUAGUCAUGCUUGGCCAAAUCUUUGAUAAAUAUACUUUCCAGGUGCUUAAGACCAUCAAGUCAUCCACAUACCUUCCUUUCGACGAAGUCAUCCUUUCUAGAUUGCAUCCUGACUCUGUCGAUAUGUGUUCAAAACUGUUGUCUCCAAAUCCAGGUUUAGCAUUUUACCAGCCGCUCUUUCAUAUUAUUAUUGUACUUAUCGCCAAAACUUGCUAUACAUUAUGUUUAGCAAUUCUCUGACGUACUGAUGCACUACUGCAGUUAAGCGCCUGUCCUUCAGCGAAUUCUAUUCGCACAGUUUUUUGCAAGGUUUUUUAGAAGAGUUGAGAUGUGAAAUAAUUACGGGUACACAAAUGUUCUAGCACUCUGUACAGAAGAUGAUUUUACUGAUGUGUAUGAUUCCCAAUACGAUAAACUGCACUAGAAGAGGUGUUGAACAGAUAUGUCAAGACCUCCAAGCUCCAUGGCUUUGCCAUGGAUCGGGAGAAGUGCAAUUUUACUGUUUUAGACUGAUUUGGUAGUAACUGUGUAGAAAUCAUAAGUGAAUACCGAAAGUCCGUUGAUUCCAAUAACUCUGAGUUACUUGCUUCUGUAAAUGGACAUGUUCAUGAUAUAAUAGAAAUUGAAAUCCUCCUACGAAAGCGAGACUUUAUGAGUAUUAUUCUCGUUCCUGUCAUGCAUCAAGUAAAAUUGAUUUUGCAGGCAUAGCUUUGAUUCGUAUUUUCGAAUUUACACAUAAAAUAUCAUCAGGCAUCAGCAAGCGAGAUACAAAAGUCAGCUACAUUUUAUUUACGAGAUCAUUCACAUGCACAGGCUACAGAUCUCAGAGAUUAGGACAUAGCCAACAACGAAGUCAAGGAUUCGCUUCCAAAUUGCGGUUCGUGUACUCUACAUUCUCACACACAAUUUCAGCAGUGCUUGUUUAAGAUUGUUUCAAUACCGCCUUGAGCUAUAGGGUGGUAAGUCUCGCGAGCGGCUGCAAACACCUGCUUGGCCAGAAUCUUCCCUUCUUCAUUUCCAUUGCCUUCCACAAGAGCCCCGUAGAGGGAGACAAGGUACUUCUUCCUCCCAACUUCCUUCAAAGUUCUCUCCACCUCGCCCAAGUAGUCUUUGCAGUUGGAAGCAAUGGCCAGCAGGAGAAAUGUCACCUUCACAUCAUAAUCUUUUGAUUCUGCCAGCCUGAAGCGCGAGUUCAACUCUACAACCUGCAAAUCAAGUCACAAGAGCUAAGAAAUUAAGUAACUAUGCGUGUCGAAGGCUGCUAUGGAAUCAAGUCGUAGAAAAUAAGUACCUGUGAAGGUUCAAUAGGCUUGGGGAGGUUCUCCAAGUAGAGUUCCCACUCCUGCCCUCUCCAGUCAGCAACUUCAUCCUCCCCUGGCAUCCUACCAAGCUUAAAUUCAUUUGCCAUGGACACAAUCUUUGCAUAUAUGUUAGAAACCGGUUCAUACGCAUCAGGAGGGAUACCAGUGCCCUCAGUCCACACCACUAAGUCAACCUCUUUCUCUAUUCCAGGUAGGUUUGCCUUGAGAAACUCGAGAAACGUAUCGGUAUCAAUUGACUGGAACUUGAAGGUGGCAAUGUAUUUCUUCAGAAACUCAUCAAACGCAGGCCUUCCAACCUUCAGAUUCCGAAAAACAAGUGCCGAUCAGAUCGUCUUUACAGGACAACAUCUAGAAACAAAAGAAGUUACAACUUCAAGAUACCUGACGUUCGAUGCGCCAUAGAAACUGGAAACCCUUUUCAUAAGGGACUCGAGAAUACACAUCAUCUGGAUCAACUCCAUCCUGGUUGGUUUUCAGCCUUGUGACCUCCAAGCUAUCCUUGAACCUCUCCAUUUCCUUGUGCAAACCCCGCCAGCCGAUUCCAAUGUUCAGUGCAGCUCGGUCCUCGCCUUGAACAGCCUCAACAAUUCUCCUAUCAGCAUAUGUCGUGAAACCCUGCAGCAAUAAGUAAAUAUUAACACCCUGACAUCAACUGCCAAUGCUCAUUAGUUUAAGCCCGAAAAGUUGAACCGGUGAAUGUUUGAAUGUAAAUUCAGUACCUCAUUCAACCAAAAAUGCUCGUUAGUUUUGUUGGUGAUCAAGUUCCCAGUCCAGCUAUGAGCCAGCUCGUGCGCCACCAGCCGCGCGCCGCUGGCGUCGCCUUUGAGCACCGUCGGCGUCACGAACGUCAUUCUCGGAUUCUCCAUUCCAGCAUACGGGAAGCUCGGGGGCAGCACCAAAAGAUCGAACCUUUCCCACACGUACGGCCCAAACAAGGCCUCCCCUUGCCUGAUCAUGUCCUCGGUGCUCGCGAACUCCAUCACCGCCGAUUCAAGCACCGCCGGCACCGCCUCAGAGUAAACCCUAGUCCUCGGGCCCACCUCCCGGAACCCCAGCUCACCGACGGCGAACGCGAACAGGUACGGCGGGAUUGACUGCUCCAUCACGAACUCCUCGACGACCCUGUCCUCAGAGCACCACAAGGCGUCGCCGGAGACCAGCGCCGACCCCUCGCCGGCGAUCGGGUCGCGGCGGGAGACGUGACGCGCGGACAUGACGGCGGAGAGCUGGCGGGGGACGUUGAGCUUGGCCGCGUAGCGUAAACGCGCAGCGGGAGUGUCCUGGCAGGGGAAGACGGAGCGCGCGUGGAUGGCGUGGCAUUGGGUGUAGACAAACGGCAGCGUCUUGUUAAAGGUCUGGGGAGGGGAGAGCCACUGGAGGGCGGAGGAGGAGGGGGAGGUGGAGUACAGUAUAAAGACGGAGGCUGCGUUGGAGAGGGUGAAGGUGAGGUGGCAGCCUUUGAUUGGGUCAGGAUGGGAGAUGACGUAAGAGAGAGGACGGGAGGGUUUAUGGGGAUCGAUGACGGAGUGGACUGUGAGGGCACGGAUGUCGAGGGAGAGUGGGCCGGAGUACGGGGCGGGGAGGGUGAGGAGGGCGGAGGCGUGGAUGGUGGAGGAGGGGAAGUCGAAGAAGAAGGAGAGGGAAAUAUGGGUGGCGAGUGGGUGAGUCGAGUCAGUGAACGAGUGAGGGUCGAUGGGCGCCAUCGGGAAAUGCUUGGGCUUUAGAGCGUGGAACCGGAAACGGACAAAUAAGGAAUUUAAAUAGACAGAGAGCAAUAAACAAUAUUUCUUCAGUUUUCUGGUUAUUAUUUUGGCUAUGUCUAGAUGAAAUUUUAAAGGUUCGAUUCAUUGAUUGAGUGAAUUUGAUAGAAUGAAUCCGGAGAUGAUCCAUUUUCAUUAUUUUGGCUUUGCCUUUCAACAUUCUGGAGGGAGAAGAAAAUCGUACACCGGCAUGUAUAUAGGGUAAAGUUUUAAGAUUAUUUACUAAGAAUUUGAUACUUUUCUUUUUCUUUUUGAAGUCUCAGAUUCUUUCUUAAGCGUGAAAAUUCGGCUAUGGAUAGAAUGACAUUCCUAAGUAAAUAAAGGAGUAUAACUUUUUUCUAAAGUGGUGAAAAUUCUUGUACGUUUCGAAUGACGUGUAUCAAAUAAACAAAAGAGUAUAAUUUCUUUGUAAAGAAGUAAAAAUUCUGCCACGUUUCAAAAGACAUGUACUGAAUAAAUAGAAAAUUGUAGCUUAUUUCUAAACUGGUGAAAUUUCUGCUAUAUUUUGAUUGACAUUCACUAAAUGAAGAAAAAAUUAUAGGUUUUUUCUAAAGCGAUUAAAGGGUAUAAAUUAGAAAAGAGUGUGCUAUCCACACAUCAUUUUUACUUCUCACAUAUAUCUGGUUAAUUUCUGUCAUUUGAUCUUCUUCAAUUCAUUUGAUCCGACACUCGAAAAUUAGAAGGAUGUGUGAGAAGUAAAAAAAUGUGUGUGGAUAUCUCACCCUAUUAGAAAAUCUCAUUUUUAUUGGGUUUGUGAAUGACUCUUUAAUAGAUAACACUAGAAAUUUGCACCCGCGCGAUGCUGCGGGAUUGAAAAUCAUAUGAGACAUUUUGCUAAACCUUAUCAUGAACGGAACAAAUUUAGAUACUAACAAAAAAUAUAAAAAUCCAUUUUUUCAAAGUGCAAAGAAAGAGAAAUUGUUUAUUCAAAAAGUUGGACCAAUGAUAAAAUUACAAAUGCAGUAUUGAGUAUAUCAGUCAAACAAAGCUUGCCACAUGCUAAACAAUGUUGAAAUACAUCAUUAGCUUUUUCAAGUGUUAUAUGCCAUGAAUGUAAUUGGAUAACAGACUUGUUCCUAGCUUGAGGUGCUUCCAAUGGAAAAUUGACCUUUCAAGUGUUAUAUGCCAUGAAUGUAAUUGGAUAACAGACUUGUUCCUAACUUGAGGUGCUUCCAAUGGAAAAAUUGACCUUUUGUUGUACUCUCUUGGACAGUUGUGAAUACAACUACAAAAAUAAUAAAGACAGCCAAUGAUUCAAAAAAAAAUAUGCAUAAAAAGUUCAAAAUUGAGUUUAGGGAGGGAGGGAGGGAGGGAGGGAGAGAGGUGAGGUCACCUUAUAACCGGAGAUCAAAUGUAUUUUUUUCCUAUUAUUGAGGUGGUAAUUCGACUUGUGAAAUUCUGAAAUCAAACAUUUAAAUAAAGUUUAAUCAAAAUUUAGUACGAAAUGUUAAUUAGAAAUGUGUUACAAUGGAAGCAAAAAAGAUUGAAACUUGUCUAAGUGAUGUGUACAAUUUUACCAUCUGUUUGUGAAAAAUAUACCGAUGUGACAUGCCAUAUGUUGGUCUUGCCUUCUUGAAAGUAAUAUUAGUCGUUGAUUGCCAGGUAGCAUAAAUCUGUACAAAAUUUUAUAAAUUAUGAGAAAAAUUAUUAUGUCAAACUUGUGUGCUAAAAAAUAAUUUUUUCUAUAUUGACGCAAGUUAUGAUUUUAAUUUGUAUAUACCUUGGUGGAGUAAUUCUGUGUAUGAGUUUCUUAUAUUCAUCAUCCAUGUUAUGUGAAAAGCUGAUUCCAAGUUCUGCAGAAAGUCACAAAAAAAUGAAAUAUAAAAUUGGAGCAAAGAUUCAAUUAUACAAAUUUACACUUCUAAACACAUAUAUAUAUUUAAAUAAAGAAAAAUUUGAAUAAAGAGGCACUAACAUUCCUCGAUGACAUACUCCUAACAUAUGAAAAACAUAUAAUUUUAAACAAAAAAAAGGUACAAAAAAUACCUCAACAAAUCGUUUGAGGUGGAUGAUCACAACAUUUUCUCUUCCCUUUAUCCUCAUACUCUUUACCCACGUUCAUGCAUGUACAAUGCUCAAACACAACCCAAAUUAGUUCAAAGGAAAUAUGCACAACCCAAGAGAAAUUAAUUAAUUCAAAUAAUUAUUCACUUCCUCACAACCCAAAUUAAUUCAAAUGAAAUCUGCACAACCCAAAGUAAGAGAUCAAACGAAAUAUGCACAACCCAAAUGAAGAGAUCAAACUCUAAUUCUCUCAAAAAAGCCAUUAUUCCUAAUGCCACCUCUCUUUUUGGCACCCUAUCCAUUCUGUCAACAACCGAUACAGAAACAAAUAAGUCCAAAAACACAAAUAUACCCAAGAAGUAAAUGUACACAACACAAAUCAAACCAAUCAGAUAACUUUAUUUAAAUAGACCAAAAUGAGUAAUAAGUCAUUGAACCCUCACUUCACCAUUCUAAGCUUUUCCAUAUCUAUAUGAGGGUAGAAAUUCAACCCUCACUACUUUCUUUUUUGAGAGUUCUGCAUACUAAUUGGAGGAAACCAAGGAAUUCGAAGCUUUUCCAUACCUCGGCUUAUAUUUUGAGGGAAUUUAAUGUGUUCUUGGAAAUUGGUAAAAGCGAUUGUGGAGGAAUAGGGGAAAAGUCCACUGUCUCUCAAGCUCUCCCUUUGAACUGCUGUAAAAGAAACUCUCACAUCCACCAUUCCCCCUAUUCCAAUUCAAAAAAUUUAUAUUAAAAAUUUUAAGAAAAAACUCAAUAGAAAAUCACUAAAUAAUUCAAUAAAUUUGGAAUUUUUGUUAUUUUCCUAAAUAAAAAAAGGUGGAAACUUUACCUGAGGAAGUGAAAGCCAAGCUGACGAAAGCAAGGCAGAUAGUGCUGCAGAUGCUAUGGAGGGACAAAAUCAGAACCGAUCCGAUUGAAUAAAUUAGUCGGAAAACUCAGGAUGUGAUCAACUUGUUCGUUGCCGAGCUGCAUCCACACAAAAACCAAACAAAUUAUUCCCAACAUCCCAAAUCCCAAUAACAAACAAUCAUACAAAAAAAUCGCCAAUUAGAUUCAAUAGCUUACCACAAUGUCAUGUGACGAACUCUGAUCACUGUCAUCGAUCUUCAUCUGCUACCAAAGCCCAUACAAAAAAAAAUCUCAGGAAAAUGCGAGAAUUCUUGAGAAACUUCAAAAUUUUGGGCGAAGAUGGUGUUUUUUCCCGAUUUUGUUGGAGGGCUCGAGGGUUUUUGGGAUUUGUUGGUUUCAGGUUGUGUUGGCCCUAAAAACUACAAAGCCUACGUGGCACGCAGGCCGAGUAAUCUAUAAGCUAACUACGUCCUUCGGUGAAUGCGGGGCGUGCCAACUCGUCGGUCGAGCUCGACCGAGGAGUAAAUUUGUUGAUGUUGCGUUGGGUACGCGGCUGACUUCUGCGUCUUGCGAUUGCGGCCGAGGAAGGAACACGUCUCGACCUCUUGGGCCCUCGAACCUGAAGACAAGGCUACUAUUUUUACGAAGUUCAAUAUCAGAUUCGGCUUUCAACAUGCCGAAUGUAAUAACUUGUAACACCUCACUUCGCCGAGAAGGCUGAUGAGAUGACCUCGACCAAUAAGGAUUCAGAAAUCCUUCUCGACCGGGACUUGGAUAGGUAAUCAAUCGUUCUCGCCGCAGUGCUGUUGAUGCCAAUGGAAGAUGUGUUAGCGAAAAAAGAAAAUAAAAAAAUCUCAAGGUGUUGAGAGUUUGCGCAAGGCAGUUGUGUGUUGAAUUCCAGGUCCUUUUCCGUUGCCACUGCAUCUGUAUUUAUAGCACUGAAGUACUUGCUCUGCAAGGUCAGAUGAUGUUGCAGAGUUUAAUUGCAAUUUUAAUUCUUGAAGUUGAUUCGUAUCAGAACCCAGAAACCAAGGCUAUCCUUCAAACUGAGCCGUGAGAUUUGUUCCAAGACUUUUCAAACUUAUCAGUCCAUCUAGGCUUAUCACAUCACAUUGUCAAAAACCUAUCCGUAGCCAUGCUUUAUCCCAUUAAGAUUCCCAAAAUAACCUACAUGCUAGGCUUUGAAUAAUAUUUAUCUAAACAACCAUCCAUUAUCUAUAUAUAUAUAUAUAUAUAUAUAUAUAUAUAUAUAUAUAUAUAUAAUAUUGUAUGUGGUCUAGGCCAUCAGAUAUCACGCCCUCCAUCAAUCCGCUUUAUAUAUAUAUAUAUAUAUAUAUAUAUAUAUAUAAUUGGUAGUCUUUCACAGGGCAUGGACACUAACCCCAUCAUCAAUUUUUAUGAUCUGACAACACCAACACCACAAGUCAUCAAUCUCUACUGUCGUGCAUGCAUAAUAAAAAGAUAAUUCACCAUUAAAAGAUAAUAUUAUGAUUAAAAUCGCAAUGUAUCUUUCAAUAAUAAUUAUCUCAACUAUCCUAUCAUCCAACGGUUGAGAGCCAUGUUCAUCAACGGCUUUGAUCGCACGAACCGAUAGUGUAAAAUCGGGCCUAAACAGGUUGAGAUAAAAGGGAAGCAAAUGGAAAAGUUAUUGAAACAUUUGAGAGAGCUCGAGAGAUCUGAGAGAGAAAAGAACAUGCUUGCACCAUCCCCAACACUUGCUUCCCCUCCCAGAUGGUUAACACGCGUACAUCCAGCCUCAUUUCCUUCCACAAUAACCAACACGCGUACAAUGGGGGUAAAUACGUGAUUUCACUGUAUAACAGAGGAAAAAGGCUGAGAAUUAGGUAGCAAAUGAGGGACAAUUUCGUCAAAUCACUGUUAAUGAACAGUGACUUCAAACUGAGUUUUAGUAUAUAUAACUAGUUUUUAGUGCCCGCGCGUUGCCGCGGGUUGUGAAAAGUUGUGUUACAAAAGAGGAAUACCAAUAAUAGUAAAGACAUUGGAAAAUCAUUAUACAUAAAAGAUUAAAUUUGGAGACCAUUAAGAUAGAUAUUACAGUUAUCCAUUUGAUUGUAGCAGUUAUCACAUUGUAAAAUUAACUGUCAAGAUUAACCAUGAUCCAAACGCUUAUAAUCCAAUCUAGUAAGUCUGUCAUUAACUAUCUGUAUAAACAUUUUACCCUGAGGUUACAACAGCAAAGAAAACAACCAAAAGAAUUAAAGAAAUGAAAAACUAUGUCGUCAGCUAAAAGAAAACACAUUUUUAACUGCUAUUAAACAUGCUGCAAAAUCCAUCAAAUUUUUUUUAGCUCCACCAAUACUUUUCCAACUACACAUAAUUUAUGUUCAUACUUAGCUAACACAACUGAAUUAAGAGAUACAAAUUAUGAACGAAGAAUCUGUGCAAAAUCUGUAACAGUGCAAAAAGACAAACAUCAUCAACUGGAAUAAAAAAUUAUACAUAAUUAACCUAGCAGAUGAAACCACGCUCAUUAGAAAAACGGAUAAAAAAUAGUUUCAACACAUACUCCAAUUGGUGCUCUGAUUUUUUCCCAAAAAUUAUAAACAAAUUUUAGGAAACAUUAAAUUUUUGUCAAAAUCCAAUCACUUUUGUAAUCUCCAGCCAAACACGACAGACACAUUUUCAUCUGCUAUUCAAACAACUUAUUGAUCUAUUAACUGCCUUAUCACUUCUGAAUGAUUACCAUCACAAAAAUGUUUACCUAAUCCAAUCUAUUACAUCCAUUGCUCAGCAUUUGUAUAAGCAUAUUAACCUAAGAUCAAAACAACAAACUGAAGAACCAAAAAAAUAAAACAAACGAAAACAGCGACAUCACCUAAAACGAAAUACACUUUGAUGUCACAUUCAAAGAACCUGUAAAAUGUAUUAAUAAUAACACACACUACACGUUGAGAGAAGUUAAUCAUUUUGUGUUUCAGCAAACAACAAUAUUGUGUUUCAAAAUGAUUCAACAUUAGGUAAGAAAUCAAGACAUUAAUCAAUCUCAGCACAAAAUGCCAACACCGUUAUUGGCUACAUGAGAUUAACUUGCACUCUGUUGAGGCAAAAAGAAGAGAACAACGGUCAUGCAUCACCGGCACAAUCGAGUCCACAAUCUGAAAUUUUUGCAAUCACCCAUUAAAGUGUGUUUAACUAUUAAAACAAAUUCACUGUCAAAUUUUUUUAAUUUGCUGCAGGUUCAUUUUUGGAUAAUAAAAUUUAACUUCAUUUUCUUGCCUGUCAAUCGAUCUUUACAUUUUUCAAUCACUCAGUUUUUGUUUUUACAUAACUUGGAAAUAACACAAAUUUCCUUCAAAUUAAAUCAAAGAAAACAUGAAAGCAUUAAACACAAACAAAAUACAGCAUAACACAAUUCUUACACCACAGGAAAAACCAAAACUCAUCUCUCCAAAACCCUUGAAGGGACGAAAGGAAAACACUCACCAAUAACAAACACGGCUUGCAAACCUGCACACAAAAGCACCAAACAACUAAAAAUUAGUUUGGGACGAAACCAAACAAAAAAAAAAAAGAAAAAUUCCAGACUCAACCAGAACGAAGAACCAUACCCAAAAACCCAAGAUGGUAGCAAAACCCCCAAAUUUCCAAAACACAGCUGCAAACAGGAAACCCAUCCACAAAAAUGAAAAACGGUAAGGAACAAAAAGAAAUACCUAAUAUGAGAAAGGCAAACAACUAACCAGGAGAAUCCACCCUUUAUAGAUAGAAAAACCUUCGAACCCAACCAAACAACCGAAAGAGCGCAAACCACCAGUAGUGUUUUUUCCCAACAAACUAACACCACGCUGCUAGACACAAAGAAGAAGCAGUGGCUGGCUUAAAACGAAAACCGGGAAAGAUUCAAAAUCGGAAGAAAGCGAUUGGCAAGAGCGGGAGAAGGAGAGAAAAUAACAAUGAAAAAUCUGAAGACGAAAGGGAGAAAAGAAGAAGAAAAGUAGGUAGACCAGCUAACUCCGAUGACCAACACCUGUCCACCAUUAUGAAAACAAAAGGGAGAAAAGAAGAAGAAAAGCACGUAGACCAACUGACUCCAAUGACCAACACCUGUCCAGAAUGGGCAAAAUAGGGUUUUUACUGUGCGAAAAACUGAAGAGAACACCAAAACAGAGAAAAAAUGGAGGGGCAAAACGGUCCACACACUGGUCAUCCACAGUGACCAGGGGGUUUGAGUUUUAGUAUAUAUGAUUUCCUUAGCAUAGAUCUUUAUUUUAUUUUAUUUCCGAAGAAUUUUUCAUGGGCUCCAUAUCAUCUAAUUUGUGUUGUUUACGUAUUAGGCUUUAAAAUUCAUCGUAGCGUGUUGAGAAUAUCAAUCCACCCACAUAAAAAAAAAAAAAAGAACUUUGAUGUACUUAUAAGUAAUUGGAACCUUAUAUUGCCAAUUAGUUUUUGUAGACAUCGAAAUUUCUAUAAAUAAAUGUUGACCGAUAAAUCAAAGUUUCAACACUCAUGUAUUACAUAAAUUUUACACGUAGCGUGUGUCUAAACAAAAAAUCGAGAAUCAUCGGAAAAGUCAUCAAACAUGACACGUGUCAACACCUGGCAGAAACGACUUAUUUCAUCUGGAAUAUUAUAUUCAAAAUUAGGCUUUAGAAAAUUCUAUAAAUAGAAGCCAAAUUCAUUCAUUUGAAGGGGGAAUUGAUAUUAGGCAAAAACCUUGAAGCUCUGAAACUCUGAAACUUCGAAGCUCUCAAGCAUCCAGGUUCCCGAAGAAUCAAGAAAGCGUUUUUCGUUCUUUGUUCAUCGUUCUUCCAAGAUCAAGCCCCAACGGCCCUUGGAUCAACAAUCCACCAAUUCAAGAUCAAGCCCCGACGGCUCUUGAAGAAAGUGUUCUUCGUUCUUCGUUCAUCGUUCUUCCAAGAUCAAGCCCCGACGGCCCUUAGAUCAACAAUCCACCAAUUCAAGAUCAAGCCCCGACGGCCCUUGAAGAAAGUGUUCUUCGUUCUUCGUUCAUCUUAAGAUCAAGCCCCAACGGCCCUUUGGAUCAACAAACGUCAAUAAAUCCAUACAUCCAACAGUUCUUCAAGAUCAAGCCCAAAAGCCCCAAAGAUCCGUUCAUCACUGUUCUUCAAGGUCAAGCCCAAAAGCCCUUGAAGAUCUGUUCAUCGCCGUCAAUCAAGAUCAAGCCUCAACAGCCCUUGAAGAAACACUCAUCCUCAAGAUCAAGCCCCAACGGCUCCUUGAAGAUCCGCUCAAAUCCACCUUCAAAGAUCAAGCCUACAGUCCUUGAAGAAACUUCCAACAGUUCAUCUAAAAUCAAGCCUCGACGGCCCUUGGAUCAACGAAACAUCCACAAAUCAACACCUUACGGAGAUCGAAUCAGAUGAUCAAAUUUGAGAGAGAUUGUAACCCAAAAUCAUCAAAUACAAACAUUAUUUUGUGCACGUUGUUCUUGUCCCUUUCCUUUCAGGAAAUUUUCGUGUUCACAAAUUUGGCACGCUCGGUGGGACAAUCUCUACCUCUCAUCUCUUUCUCCAUUCAAGAAAUUCAAGCACAUUUCCAAAAUCAAUGGCAUCAAGCAAAGGACAAGCCGUUCUCGCAAAGGGAAGAAGCCUGAGCACUUCCGCCAUGAACGGAGCAUCCAUUGACGCCACAACUACUCUUCAACAAACCACUUCAAAGUCGAUACCGUUGAGGGAGCAAGUGGAGCAUCAAAGACGCAAGCCCGUCAUCAACCUAACCUCGCUGGGGGCAUCGAAGCAUGUCGUUGAGGCACAUCAGAUUACAUCCCAAAACGGCCAACGGGGUCCUUCGUCAGCAUCCUGGAUGUCUAAAGGGAAGUCACGUCUAUUGGUUGCACAAGUCAUGAUCAUCGACGUUACCUCCAUCGAAGAACAACUGGCUCAAAUGAAUGAAGCGAUCCCAAGGCUAACACGGAUUGUGGAAGAAAAAUACUUGCAAAUCGCUGCACUCAUCAGCCGACUGAAGCCACAGGACGGCGAGAAACCCGACCCAGAGGAUGAUCCACUAAAGGGAGAAGGUGGCGGAGAAGAAGAGCCUCCGGUGGAGAGAAUCAAUGUGAAGCCGGAGCCAGACCAAACAGCGGCACUCAUGGGAUCUCUUUCUAUCCAGCAGAUGCAGGAGAUGAUCAACAACACUAUCAAGGCAUAGUACGAAGGGAGCUCAAAUACCUCCGGGAUGUACUCGAAUCUGUAUUCAAAGAAGAUUGAUGCCUUAAGGAUGUCGAUGGGUUAUCAACCACCAAAGUUCAUGCAAUUUGAUGGAAAGGGAAACCCGAAAUAGCACGUUGCCCACUUUUUUGAAACUUGUAACAACGCAGGGACCGAAUGGGACUACCUCGCUAAGCAGUUUGUGCGCUUGCUGAACAGAAACGCAUUUGAGUGGUACACGGACCUAGAGCCUGAGUCCAUCAACAGCUGGGAGUAAUUGGAGCGGGAAUUCCUCAACCGUUUCUACAACACCUGCCGCACUGUGAGCAUGUUAGAGCUAACGAGCACAAAGCAGUGGAAGGACGAGCCAUUUAUUGACUACAUUAACAGAUGACGCACUCUAAGCCUCGACUGUAAAGACAAGCUCUCGGAAACCUCUUCAAUCGAGAUGUGCAUCCAAGGCAUGCAAUGGGGUUUGCAAUACAUCCUUCAAGGCAUUAAACCAUGGACCUUCGAGGAAUUGGCCACUCGCGCCCAUGACAUGGAGUUGAGCAUCACCCAUUAUGGGAAGAAGGAACCGAUCGCCGACUACAAGAAUGACAAAGUUCUUGAGACAAAGGUGGAGAAGGCUGCGUGGAAAUCCACCAAGGAAGCAAUGACGGUCAACACAGCUCCCAUCAAAAUCCCUACACGAGGCAAGG